UUCCUAACUCUUAAGGACUUAAAAAUUAACAACAAUAGCUGUAUAUGGAUUUGCCUACAUAGUUUCUUUGAAUGACAAAGAAAAUAAGUAUUUCAAUGCAGUUUUCUGUUUUUUCAUAUAAAUUUUAGUUGAACCAUGCAUUCUUUGAAUGACAAACUUUCCCCUCAUGCAUUGCGUAAUUACACAAUCCCCACCAUGUAAUCAAGAAGCAAUUCAUACGCAUCAGCCAAUCCAUAGUUUAAUCAAAAGUAGACAAGUCAAACUUGUGCUGGGGACCAUGGUUAGAAUGAUUAAAGGGAUUAGUUAUAGUGCUUGCCUACUCAACUUUCUCAAAUGAGACCGCAACUUCAGUGUUUUUCAUGCUCUAAAACCCAAACUUACUCACUUUCCUCAGUAAAGUUUGUCAAAGUACCUUCUCCCCCCACUGUAUGUAUAUACAUAAAUAUUUUUACAUAAUAAUCAUCAAUGCUCUAAUAAUAGUUAAUUACUUAAUUUCUUGCUCAUUCGACCCUAAGCUGCAGUAUUUUAAAGGUGAUAAUAACUAGUGCAAUGCUAAAGAUCAACACCCCAAAUCUUGACAAACAGAUAAUAAAUUUGACAAAAAUAUUAGUAUGCUUAUUCAGGCAUACCCAUGGAUAAGGCAUUAGUGAUACUGUGAUGCUAUGGCUAAAUUCAUUGUGUAAUAUCAGAUAUAGUUAAGUAUGAAAUUAGAAAGAAUGAAUAACAGUUCACAAAAUUUUCCAUAUUUUCUCCCCUUUUUCCCAUGGUUUGACUACAUCAUUCUGAAACAACAUAAUUUUUUCUUCUCUCUUUUGGUGAGUAAUACACCAGGGAUGGUACCUCUGGAAAUGCUAUCUUGGCUACAAUCAUAAAUAUCCGAAACAGGGAUGCUAUCAUGGCUACCACAAAUAGCCAAAACAGGGAUGCUAUCACGGUAGCUGGAAAUGCGACUAUAUGGGCUACUAUCACAAAUAUACAAAGCCCUCAUCAGGGGCUAUAUAUAAACAUAUAUAAACAAACAACGAGAGACUCCAAGGGCUGCGCUAACACAAACAAUGAAUCAUAGGACUUAAGGGUUCAUACCCAGUUUUGUGACAGUGCACAAGCGAGAGAAGUAGAGUAAGCAGGGAGAGGCACGACAGGUGGACCAUUACGACACAAGCGGUAACGGAGAGGCAACGAGAAAUGGAGCAGAGAUGGAGAGGAAGAUAGUGCACAGCGAGAGGAGUAAGCAGGGAGAGAGUCAUAAGAGAACUAGGGUUUUGUGAGUGGAGGCGCGAGACAUUUAAAUGUAGGUGGUGACAUCGGUUUUGGGUAAAAUUUGACGUUAACAUAAAAAAUGUUAACAUUGGUUUUUGGAAAAACCAAUAUUAACAUCACCAUGUUAACAUCGAUUUUUCAAUAAUCGAUGUUAAUGUGGCUUCAUUAACAUCGGUUUUUCAAAAACCGAAGAAAAACCGAUGUUAACAUAGCUUCGUUAACAUUAAUUUUGUAAAAACUGAUGUUGACGCGUCUUCGUUAAAUCGGUUUUUCCAAAAACCAAUGUUAACAUAGAUUUUUCAAAAACUAAUGUUAACGAACUCAUUUUAUUUAUAAUUAUGUAACCGCCCUUUCGUUGAUAAAAUCGAUGUUAAUGUGUCGAUGUUAAAUGUCUUUUUCUAGUAGCGCAAAUUAGCUUUAAAUUUAGUUUUUACUUUGUCUUAGGUAGAACUUUAUUUUUAUCUAAUUUUAAUUAAUUUUUGAUAGUUUUUCAGCAAAAACAUGAUAUUUUUCAAAAACUUAGCAAACACAAGAAGAGCUCUAGAGGCCCAAAAUCAGAAAAAAGUUCUUGAAGGAGAAAUUACAAAAUUGAAAAUAAAAGUUAGGAAAAUCAAGAUCAAGAUAUUUUUCAAGGAUAAAUCAGCUGAAGAAGAACAUAAUUAUUUGAAUUAAUUAAAGAUAUUAUUUUUUUGUAAUUUCUUGUGAUUAUCUCCUUAAUUAAACCUAUCUAUAAUCUUACAAAUAAGAGGAUUGUCAUUCAUUGUAAAGGUGUAGAAGUCUCAAACAGUUCUUAGAAUUAUAUUUUAUACUAUUACCUACUAGACCCCUCCAUUAUUCCAUUAGACCCUCUAGGUUUCAUUGUAUUACUUUUAUGAGUGCAAAUUAUUCCACCUAGGAGAGGAAAGGAUGGACCUUAUUUUGCUUUUAAUUCAAUCAAUUCAGUAGUCCAUCUUGAGUUCUUUAUUUGUUUUUGUACUUAAUGAUUUUAUUUGAUUAAUCAUCUAAUAGAUGAAUUCAGGAAUUAACUUGUAUUUUGGGGAGCCUUGUUGAAACUCGAACAUGAAUCAAGUACUUAAUUGGGAUUAUCUCUAAGGAUAGAAUAAUCUUGGUUGAAUGUCGCUAAUUCUCAACCAUUAAUGCAACACUGAUGGAGCUACAAGGAGAAGCCUUAGUCUCGCUAGUUUUGGUGGUUUCUUUGUUGAUUGUGAUUUAAAUUUCAUUUGAGCUUUCAUGCAAAGCUUAGAAGUGCAAAAUGCUUUUGUUGCAAAUGUCAUGGCAGCUAUCCCUGUUAUAGAGAAAGUUGUGGAAAACUCUUGGAGUCACCUUUGGCUAGAAACUGACUCGAUGCUCUUUCUUCCACCUUUUAAGUCCCCAGACAUAGUUUUCUUGUCCUUGAUAAACCGUUGGCUAAAUGGCAUUCAUUGUAUAUCAUUUUUUCUAUUUUAAAGUUACUCAUAUUUACCACAAAGGGAAUGCUUGCAUGGAUAUAUUAGCCUUUUUUAGCACCUGUAAUUUUGGUUUCUUUUGGUGGGACUCUUCACCAUGAUUUUCUUUUGAAUGAGCUCCAUAGGUAAAGGUAAGGGCUUCCAUUUUACAAGUUUUCCUAGGCUUCUCCUUGGGUUUGGUUCCUCCCCCCCCCCCCCCCCUACCAAGUGUUUUGUAUGUGUGUGUGUAUUAUCAGGGUUUUUUGCUAAAAAAAAGUAAUUUAUAUUUAACGAAAUUUGAAAAAUUUAAUAUUAAGGUCUGUUGCAAGGUCAAUACCUACAUAUGAAUGUAGUUAGUUGUUACUAUAUCUGAUUGUUUAUAGUAAGAGUGAAUGAAAUGAUAAUCAGAAAUUGUUUAAAUUGUUGCUUUAAUGUUAGUUGCAAGGUCAUUUAAUUUUCAAUUGAACCAAAAUAAAAAGUAAAAAAAAAAAAUUCAUAGGCCUAAAAUGGAAAGGGGGGAGGACAGAAAAGGGACUCUAUCUAAAAAUGGAGGAACCAAAAUUACAGAUUAAGAAAAAUAGAUAAACCAAAAUUGUAUUUAAGCUUAAAGUAAAAGCAUAUGUUCCAUUACAAAAAUAGACAAGUAAUUUCAUUAAAAUGAAAGAUUUUAUUAUAUACAUAAUAUGUUCUCUACUAAAAAUGUAUAUUAAUACAAAAUAUAACAUGAAAAAGGAAUUUUAAUUUUAUGGAGGAAAUUAAAAUUUUGUUAUAUUUAAUGUUUAGAUAAGUUGAAAUUAAUAUAUAAUUGAAAGCGAUCAAAUUAAAUUAUUGCCAAAGGAAUAAAAAAUCAUCACAUUAAAAAAAAAAUUGAGCUCCUUUAAUUAUGGGCCCAGCCAUCCCUUGAAAUAACCCUCAAGAUUAGGUCUAAGGUGGCAUUAAGAUUGAAAAGAUAUGGACCAUUAAUAUAACAAAAGGUAGAGAUAUAUGUAUUUUACUCUCUAAAGCACAAGAUGGACUUCAAAGGAGCAUGAUCUUGAUUAUUUUACUUCAAAAAUACAAAAAAAAAUAUUUACACAAAUAAUGCAACUCAAAUUUUAUUUACACAGAUGAUAUAAAUUAUGCACAUUGAGAAAUUGAUUCUUGAAAAAAAAUUCUCAACAUCACACUUUUUUUUCAACCCAGUUAAGAAAUUGAUUCCAAAGGAACUGAAUUCUUAACUCUUUUUUUUCUUGUUUUUAAAUUUUCUUUUGUAUUUUAUUUUUUAUUUUUGUUGUGUUAUUAAUUGUCUAUAUUUAUAUUUUGUUUUUAAAAAAAUAAUAUUAUUCUGCAUAUGUUGUUCGUAACUUUUUUGUAUAUUUUAUGUUUUAUAAUUUAUUCAAGGGUUCAAAUAUUUUGUAUUUUUUAUUUUAUUUGAUUAAUAAAAUACAUAAUUAAUUAACAACUUAAUUGAAAUUAAAAAAAAACAUAUUUAACCAACAAGUUGAAUUGAACUAAAAUAUUUAAAUUACAAAAUAGAUAUAAAGUUAUAAACAAUUGAACAAAAUAUUUAAAUUUGAAACAAUAAAAUAAAAAUUUUAAAAUACAAACAAUGUGACAUAAACUUAACGUUGUUGGCUUAAGCCUACAUGGUAGGAGAAUUUUCUUUUUUUUUUGAAUGAUCUGGAAUGCAACACAUGGAACAUCAUUUAGGUUGACCCAAUUCUCGAAUAACCAUUUUGGUGUGUAUAUGAGAGGAGACAGGAUAACCUUUAAAAUUUCUUAUCAUCUUUGGGUCAGGGAAGAUUCUUGAUUCGUGACACUACAGUCAAUAUGCUUCAUUAUGCAAUUCUCCAAACAAUCAUUUGUACAUGUUGGAGAUACUUUCCAAUGUAUACACAUGAUAUUUGUAAUUCUCAUACUCAUGGUGAACAUGCUUACAAGCAACAACAACAUGAGAACAAGGCAUGUUCACUUUUUGGAAUUUGCCAUAGUCACACCAUUUUUCAUCCAGCCUAACCGUGAAAUUUCCAACAGGCCAAACCUCUCUCGGGUUAAUUGUCUCCUGGACUAAGAACUGUGUGUCACAUCGAUUGAACUCAAGAACAAUGUGAGAGUUUUUCUUUCUCCAUGCAUCUUCCAUAGCCUUGUUUAGUACUAGUGUAGAAACUUGACCAAAUGUAAUCAUUGUUGCAACUACUCUUUCUCUUUGGUUGAACAAUGUAUUACAUCUUGUACAGGUUGAUUUUACCAACACACAUUGGCAGAUUUUGUGUUUUCCUGAGUACCAAAUUAAUCGACUCAAAAAGAUUGGUGGUCAUGUAUUCCCAUUGUCGGCCACCAUCCCAUGCAAGAGUCCAUUUUUUCUCGCGAAAUCUUCCUAAGCCAAUUAAUUGCUAGUUCAACUCAUGCCUCCCCCCUCAAAGUGUUAUAGUAGUGAUUGAAUUGAGGCUUUGUCCUUGCACAUUAUGAGUAGUUAUAAAUAGACAAUUUCAAUUAUUAUUCAUAGUACAAAAUUAAGUGAUUUUUACGAUAAAGAGAAUGAAGUUUGGCACUCACCUAUAUUGACAAUUAGUUUUUUAUGUCAUUGUUCUUGAACCUGCUCAUGUAAUUUUGUGCAAUGCGUCAAAUGUAUAACGCAUGCAUGGGAUUUUAUGUCAUCCACCCACAGUAGACACUUUUUAUUAAGUUGUGUAUAUCUGAAAUCAAACAUAGACCAUCUUGUGGAGUGACAUGACCUUUUAAAUUUUUUAGGAAGAAGAUUCAUGCUUCUGUUGUUUCACUCUUGACAAUGGAAAAGGUUAUUCGAAGGGUCUUAUUAUUGUCAUCUUGUGCAACUACCACAAGGAAGGUCCCCUUGUACAUUUCUUACAAUCAUGUUCCAUCAACCUGAACAAUCGGCUUGUAAUAUUGAAACCCAUCAAUACAUGGUCUAAAAUUCCAAAAAAAAGACGAUGGAAUUUCAAAGUUUUCAUUUAAUGAAGCCAAAAGACAACUUUUGGGACUCCAUUCAGCCUUAAAACGCAUUAACAAAGUGACCAAAAACAAGAAAAAAUCACUAAAACUUCAAAAUUUUAUUCCAUGAGGACAACUUUUGACACCUAAAUUGUUAUGUGUAUCAGUUAUUUUGGUUCAAAUAAUGUUCCAUUCCAUAUUUUUCAUGUCAAUGAAGCCAAUAAGACAACUUUUGAGACUCCAUUAAAACACAUUAACAAAGUGGCCAAAAACAAGAAAAAAUCACUAAAAUUUCAAAAUUUUAUUCCAUGAAAAGAACUUUUGACACCUAGAUUGUUAUAUGUAUCAGUUAUUUUGGUUUAAAUAAUGUUUCAUUCCUGUAGUUUUCAUGUCAAUGAAGUAAAUAAUAAAACUUUUAAGACUCCAUUUAGCCUUAAAACACAUUAACAAAGUGGCCAAAAACAAGAAAAUAAAUCACUAAAGGGUGUUGCUUUGGACACCCAGCAUUUUUGUUAGGACACCCAGCAACAUAGGUAAAAGGGCUAAAAUGCCCUUCACCUGUUUAAUAUAAAAAGGAACAGUGACUCGUCCGUACAAGUCACUUCCUCAAGCGCUGCAUCUGCUUCUUCCUCGUCCUUUGCUUCUCUGCUUCUUCUCCGUCCUCUACUUCUUUGCUUCUUGUUCCUCUGCUUCUCAUGCACAUUGCUUCUUUCUGCUUGUUGUUGUUGUUGGUGGUUCGUGGUUGUUCCUGGGUCACAGUUCUUCUUCUUGUUCUUCGUUGCGUGAUCUUCUUCGAGGUAAGUUAUUCUUUGUUCCCUAUUUUUGUUGAUUCAUUGUUGUUGUUUUAUUGAAUGAUUGUAUUAUUUUGGAUGUUGUUGAUAUUGGUUUGAUGUUGUUGUUUGAAGUAAUCUCGACAUUAAAAAUGGCAUUUUUUCGAAAAAAACACCAUACGGAUCAGCAAUCCGUAAGGGUCAUACGGAUUGAUGAUCCGUAUGGUGUUUUUUUUUUAGUUUUUUUUAAUUUUUGAAAUUAUUAUUUUUUCAUUUUUUUCUAAUUUCUUUUUAAAUUUUUGUUUACAUUCUGAAUAUAUAUUUGUUUAAUUAUUAUUUAAAUUGUUUUAUAUCGCGAUAGUUAGUGUAAUUUUAUAUCUUUUUCCGAUUUAUUUGUUAAGUAUUGAUUUUAUUUAUAAAAAAAUAUUUUAGUUAUUACUAAGAUUAGAUUAGAUUGCUAAGACUAACAUUAGAUUAGAUUAGAUUGCUAAAACUAAAAUUAGAUUGGUGAAAAAAUAAUUUUAAAUAUUGUAAUAUUAUAUUUGUUUAACUUUUAAAAAAAUUGAAAAAAAAAUAUUUAAAAGAUAUUACAUUUGUUACUUAUGGAAAAUAUUGAAAUCAUAAUUAAAAAUAAUUUAAAUUGUUUAGUUAUAAAAAAUAUUUAAACAAAAAUUUUAAAUAAUUUAAAUUUGUUAUAGAAAAUAUUGAAACAUAAAUUUUAAUUAUACAAUAAAUCUGUUAGUUAUAAAAAAAAUUAUUUGAACCAAAAAUUUUAAAAUUAUAAAAUUUUUAAUUAGUUUGAAAAAAUUGAUUGAAACAAAAAUUUAAAUGAAAACUGAUUUAAAAUUUUAAAAUUUGAUGAAACCAAAAUUUAAAUUUUAGAAUAUGAUAAGAUUGUUAGUAUAAGAUAAUGAUUGAAAUCAAAUUUAACAAUAUAUUAAAUUUGGUAUUUAUAAAAAAUAUUGAAACCAAAAUUUAAAAUAUAUUAAGACUAUUAGUUUUUAAAAUGAUGGAAACCAAAUUUUAAAAUAUAUUAAAUUUGUUAGUUAUAAAAAAAUAUUGAAACAAAUAUUUAAAAGUCAUAAUAAAUUUUUUAGUUAGUUUAAAAGAAUUGUUGAAACUAAAAUUGAAAAUAUAUUAAAAUUGUUUGUUUUAAAAAAUGAUUUAAACGAAAAUUUAAAAUAUUUUAAAUUUGUUAGUUAAAAAAAAUAUUGUGCAGAGAAUGGUUAGAACUAGAGGCCUUGAACACGCUUUAGGCUGAGCAAUAGGAAAAACCUUGGGGAGGAGAAAGGUGAGUGACGAUGAUAAUGAUGCCUCCAACGGCGAAGGCCUACCGCAUCUGCCAGUAGGCAACGACAAUAGACGCGUGUUGUCAAGGAUCCUCCUACGGUCACAGAGGAUUUAAAUAAAGAGCAACAGCAACCACCUGUUAUGUUUGACGACGCUACCGAUAUGUUGGUGGAAUUACUCGAGGUCAGCGCUGCAAAGGCGAGAGCUGAGACAAUUCAAUGUCAUCGCUCUUGUGUUCGACUAUCGUGGCUGCGAGACAUGUAUCAGACAAAAAUCGAGGCAUGUCACUGAUUGUAGCAGCACGAGCGUAUUUAUUACAUCUGCUUGGGUGCACACUCUUUUCUAACAAGAGUGCCACACACGUGCAUGUGAUAUUCUUGGAUGUACUGUCUGACUUGACGCAGAGUGGGACUUACGCUUGGGGUGUUGCUGCAAUUGUGCAUAUGUAUGAUAAUUUAAAUGAGGCAGCUUGCAGGAUAUACCACUCUGUUAUAGGUUAUUUCAAAUGUUAAUAAAACAUUUUUUCAUUGGCAUUGGUUAAUACAUGUUGUCAAUUAUUUUAAUGAAUAUGUUUGAAAAAUUUAUCUAGUAUUGGAUCUAUGAGCAUUUCCCAUCAGUUGGUUUCGCCUUAGCUGCCAAGGAUUAUGAUGAAAGGAGACCGCGUGCAUGCCAAUGGACCUCUGGCAAGGCACUGCCCGUGUUGACUUAUCGCAUGCGUCUGAACAGACUAACCCCUGACGUAGUGUGCUGGAUUUCAUAUGAUGACCACCAUUCAUUUAGAGAAUUUGAGGUCAUCUCAUUAUUUUCCGGCCAUCUCUGAUGGGGUCCCUUGAUGGUCAUUCAUCAACCGGAGAGGGUUGUACGAUAAUUUGGAUACAUCCAGACUAUUCUGCCACAUCCUACUAUGCCUUCGGUUUUUGUUGAAGAAAUGGAUGAUAGAUGGAUGCAGUUCGGUGACUACAUUGCACCUGUAGGGAAAAUAUGUGUAGUGUCUGGCCAAUAUUCAUUAGAUUACAUGGAGUGAUUCUACAUGAUUUUGCAUUCAUUCAUGACUCCAACACAGUUAGGGGAUCCUCCUAGAGUUUCGUCGGUUCAGCAAUAUGACACAUUUGUUGAACCAGAUGUGCAUCAGCAACCGGUGGGGGCAGCGGCACCUGAUGGAGCAGACGUUGAUGUGCAUCAUCCUGGACAUGCAGUGGUAAUAUAUUUUUUUGGUAUUUUGUGUUUGUUGUUUUCUAUUCUAUUUUAUUGCUAACAAUUGUUAUGUUUGUUUCUUUUCACUUACUAGGAUGGUUAGGUAGCAAUUGCUGAUAAGUUGGAGAGGCUUCUGAACCUGAGGAUCCUGACCGAAGGAACAGAAGCCUAUACUAUUGCUGAAGAAUGUUUGAGCAUCGCAAGAAGUUACAUAAGUCAGCCAACUGUAGGUCACAGAUCGAGGCAUAGGCAGCGUACAGACAGUCAUUGAAGUUGUUUUUUUUUUCUUAUAUAUGUCAAUUUUAACUUUUUGGAUAAUUUAUUUAUUUGGUACAUUUAUGUAUUGACAGUAACAUUUGGUUAAUUUAUAAUUUUGGUGCCUUACUUACAGACACGUUUUUAAUUAUGUUAUACAAUUUUUUGUCAUCCAUUUAUCAUUAAUUAUCCGUUAAAGUUGCUUUGAGGAAUUAAUUAAUUCGUCCAUAACAAAUUACAAAUGUAUGUUUUUUGUAACAUUGAAGCAUCAUAAAUCAUUUUCAAAGUUGACAACACUCUUUCAAUUGCAUGCGUCUAUUUAAAAAAAUGAAUAUUACACAUACGUACUGACAUAGAAAUGACUACUCAGUUGUUUUAGUUCUGAUAGUAACAAUGCAUGUCUGAUGCAAAAUUAAAGCAUGACACAACAUUGUUGUACUUGACAACACAUAGGAAGUGGCACGCGUCUAUUUAAAAAAAUAACACAAGCUGUCUCAGUGAACAACAUCUAUAUAUACCACACCAACACUCUCAAAAAUCACACAUUCUUGCCCAAUAUAUCUUUAGAAACCACAUUUUACAAGGAACUAUGGCAUUUUUGGGAAAAACAAGCAGCCAGACCAUUGUCAACUCCAAAUUAGCUUUUAUUUUUCCGAAUGGCUCGAUUAUUUACAACGAAUCUGGUGUUUAUUUCCAAAGUUUUGCUCCGAUACCCAUUCGAGUACCUAAUGAUUGUGGUUUUGAAACACUAAAAAGUAGAAUGCACAAUACCCUUCAACUAACUGACGAUCAAUAUUUGGAUGAAAUUUACUACCGGUAGUCAUUCGUAGAUCAUGUAACCAAUUUGCCUUUCAAUCUAUGCAAUUGAAAAAUGAUGAUGAUGAUGUUAACACAAUAUUAAUGUGUAAUGAUCAAUACUCAUGUGUUGGCCCGAUUGAGUUAUUAUGUACCAUUGGUAGAACACCUAAUGGUAUAUUAAACUUACUUCAAGUCAUUAUGACUCCUACUCAUGAUGCUCUGCUAUAUUACAACGGGAGGUGGAACAUGCCACGCCAACACGACUUUGUGGGUUACUCGUUCACAGGAAAAAAUCCAAAAAGAUUUGACAUUCCUUCGGGAUGUAGCAUCGAUGGAUUGAAGGAUGUGAUCAAACAAAUUGCACCUCAAGAGAUUCCCCCUUAUGGUAUUCAUGAAUUGCAAAUGGUAAGAUGAUUGUUUUUUCGACAGCCAUGUCAUUUUGAGUAUUCAGAAAAAGUUAUCAAAUUUGAAAUUAUUGAGCUGAAAACUGACGAUGGCGUGCUGAAGAUCUUAGUACAGUCUAAUUACUGGAAACAAUUUGGCCCAAUAGAAAUUUCAACUAUUUUUAGUAAACUGGUAAUCAAAAUGGAAGACGACAUGUCUCGGUCGCAACAUGAUUAAAUGCAAAAUUAGUAUUAGUUAAUUGUAGUUUUUGAUGCAUUUUCUGUUUGUUUCAACUAUGUUGUAAGUUAAUGUAAUGUUUAAAUUCGUGUCCAUUAGCUAAUGAAACCAUAUGUUUAUUAUUUUCAAAGUACUUACUUAUGGAUUAACUUUUUAAAAUAAUUAGUAGAAAUAAAUUAUUAUUUACAGAAAUGUCAACAAAAUAAUUAUUUACGGAAAUGUCAGUGGAAAUAACAUAUUUUAUGUUCAUUCUUCACCUAAAUCAACAAAUUCGGUUUUCAACCAAGACAAAUUUGUGUAACGUUGCAUUCUACAUAUGUAUAGGGUGGGUCACUGCUUUGCCUGAUAAUGACAAUCUGUAUUCCACAACAACGACAAUGGUGGUGAAGGACAAUGGUCUCAUAAAAAAAUGUUACAUAACAACAAAUACAUUCAAUGUAAGAUAACCAACUACAUUGUCAGCAUUUAUACUAACUUCAUAAUUAUGCAAUUACCUGUACAAAAUGAUUCUCAUACACAUGACCAAUGCAUAUUACGUGAUGCACUGAAGGAUCUGAUGGUGGUUGACUUCUAAGAGGAAAAAAUGUCAUGCUUUGUUGUCGUGAAAGAGAAACAACGAUCAUGUUGUAUCGUGAAGCAAUGACAUAUCUCAUAUCCGUAAUAUUCAUCCACUUGUUUAUGGUAACCUACAUGUAACAAACAAUAAAUAGUGGUUACCUAAAUGUUAUUUUAAAAAAAAAAAGUGACAUAACAAUAAACUUACGCACCAUAGAUAAUCCGUCAACAAGUAGGGAACGCUUUAAUUCCUCAAAUCUCUUUAUGUCACCAAGCAGGUUGAUAUACUCUUCCAACAAGCUUGUGAGUUCUUUAUGCAGAUGGUUGCGCACCAAUGACCAUGAUUCUUUACUCAUACCCAAUAAGGCAGCUAUUUCGCGAUAACCACAGUUACCAUCCGCUUUGACAUCAAUAAUGUUUUCAAUAGAAUCCUGGAUGCAUGGAUGAAAUUGAUCCAACAUUGGAAUAUGUUGUCUCUAUAUUGGUUCUCAGAUGAUGAUGCACUAUGUUUCACUGAAGAAUUACUAUUUUGCACAGAGUGUAAUGCAUCAACAUACUCCCAAUAAGACGGAUCAUGUUUUGAUCACUUUUGUUGUUUGGUCAGCGGCUUUUUUGCAGCAUUUUUGGUCUUCACCUUUUCAGAAGGAUGACACAUAGAGUUCAGAUCAAGAUAAGCAAUUUCUCGUAGCUUUGUCUUCAAAUUUACUUUGCCACAAAACAUCGAGCUGCUCAAGUCAUUUCGAUAUGGUUUCCAUCGCCUUAGUUAUGGUCACAUCUGCCUCACAUAACCCUUGAUCUGAAAAAAUAAGUCUUCGCCAAAAAAUGUGGAUUGUCUCUAGUGGUAUGGAGCCAGCAACAUAUUUAGACAACUCACAUGCACAUGGAAGAUCGUGGGUAGUCUUCAUGACACAUCCACAACGUGAAGGGUUUUUGCCUGCAUAAGGUACACUCUCAUACUUAGCAGUAAUCUCAUUUAAAGUAUACCUUGAUACCAGUCCAAUUAGUUUUUUGUACAAGGUAACUUUAAACACAUGUUCAACCACAUGUGUGCUUAUCUCAAAAGAUGUUUUAAUUUGGGUGUGUUGAAGUGUUAUCAUGUUAUUCAUUUCUUCCCAAACAUUGCAUAUGUCACCAAAGGAGUUUUGUAGGAGUCUCUUUAAUGACCAAUGAGCACUCUCAACCCUACAAAUGAAAUAUACAACAAUGUAUAAACAACCGUAACAUUUUCAUUUAUGUCAACACUUAAACAAAUCAACACAAACAAAAAACAAUAUCUAUACCUGUUAGUGGUUGUGUUUCCUAGACGCAUCACUUUGUAGAUCCAUACUUUCACAAAUUUUUCUUUGUGCAGAAUCACCCAUGUUUGACACACAUAGGCCACGGAGAGCAAGCCAUUUCAAAGUUUUUAAGGUACUCGUCAAAAGAACUCUCACAUAGAUAGUCAACCAAACUCCCCCAAGCCUCCAUCACAUAAUUCCAUGCAUUCUUUUGAGCAACCAGGAUUUUACACUUUGCCUUCACAUUAUUGUCAAUGUGAAAUCGACACAACAAGUUUGUAGCAUCCGGGAAUACAGUUUUCACUACCUUCAUCAAAGACAAAUCUUUGUCGAUAACAAUAACCCCAGGAAGUGCAUCAACUUUCAUGAAAAGACCCUAAAACUGUUGUAAAGCCCAAAUAGCAUUAUUAAGACAUUUUCCUUCCAAGUAACGGAAGUUUGUACCUAUUUUUUUUGUAGGUACUGUUAAUCAAAAAAACCAAAUUACAAGAAUUGGUUAAUUUGGCUGCAUCAGGAUGACUCCAGAACAAGUCACGUAUAACAUUAUUAUCCUUCAUCCUAUGUCAGUGAAUAUAUUCACCUCAAUCAAGCAGGAUCAUGAGUUGUUGCAUUUCAGUGUUACUCCUUCUUAUGGAAGAACGGUAAGCAUGUCUGGCAUUGUAAAUUUGUUUGAUUGUUGCAUAACUGUUGGCAUUAUGCUCCUUCAACGUCAAAAGAAUAUUUCUUGGCUUCACCAUGGACUUCAUCAUAUCAACAACAACAAUCUUCUUAUCUUUAGUUAGUCGACCUGCAUAUGGAUGUCCAACUAAUAACUUUGGCAUUUCAUGAUUGUGAACCCCACAAAUUAACUUCACCAUACAUCCUUCUCCUCCCAAAACUGGUUUCACACGCAACUUAAAUGGGCAUCCACAUUUUCCACUAUCAGUACAUGUUCUUACCAAAUCAUUCUUCUUAGGCCUAUACUCACCACUCCUUUCGCAAGCUAUUAACAGAAAUAAGGCUCUGCCUCUAACACCAGUAUUGGUGUCUGACGUCAUUAUCACGACAACAAAUCCAAUGUCAUGAGUCAUCGGUCGAGUCCAAUGUAAAACUUCAUCACAACUAGCAAACAACUAUAACAGAAUUCAAAAAAGGUUUGGGAUCAAUAAACAUUUAUGUAAUAUAAUUAUUGUACCAACAACAAAUUAGACAAAUACCUAAGAAGUAUUAAAGGCAUCAGAGCAAUCAACACGUUCUACUUUCAUGCCAGCAUCUUCCUCAUUUUCAACAUUCAUAUCAACUUCUUCAUAUAUAAUACUAUCAUACAUCCACUGUUCUUCGUCCAUCUUAAUAAAACAUUUAACAAAUUCAAUGAUAAAAAAAUACAACUUAAAAAAAUUAUACAAUCACCUCAUUUGUUAUCGACACAAAUAUAACUCUAUACAAAAAUUAAAUAAAAAUGUAUUAUACAUCAUAUAACCACAAACUACAUUUUUACUACAUAUCUUCAUUAAAAUAUCAUAUAAAUUCUAAUAAAUACUUAAUUCAAUAAAUAUCAUAUAAAUUCUAAUAAAUACAUAAUUCAAUAAAAUAUCAACAUUGUUUAAUUAUUAAUCACUGUAAUAAACAUCAAAAUACAUAAUUCAGUUAAACAUGUAAAUACUUAAUUCAGUUAAAUCUAUACACAAAAUUGUUUUAGCAAUCUAAUGUUACUUUUACCAAUCUAAUUACUAAAUUAUUUUCAAUUCAUUUUUAAGAAAUCUAAUGUUAGUUUUAGAAAUUUUUAAAAGUUUAUAUAUAUUAUCAUUUUUUCACCGAUCGAAUUACUAAAUAUAUUUUUAUUAUUUUUAUAUCACUAUAAAAUAAUAUCACCAAAUCAAUAUUUCUAAAAUUGCUAAAACUAUUACAAAAAAAAUACACUACAAAACAAAUUAAACAAAUAAAUCAAAUUAAAUAAUUAAACAAAUUUUAUUUACAAUUAAAAAAAAACCUACGGAUUGACAAUCCCUAUGGUUCAUACGGAUUGCCAAUCCGUAUGAAACAUAAGGAUUGUCAAUCCAUAUGUUUUUAAAAAAAUUAUACGUACCUCUUCUUCUCCGACGAUGAAUAACCACCUAACUUCAUCGUACCCUCGUCAACAACGCACAUACACCACCGGAGACAAAAAAAUGCUCGGAAAAGUAGGUUAACGGAAGCAACUUACACUAAGGGAGUGAGAUUUUCCGAAAUAAAAAAGGUGCUGCAAAAAUGAAAAACGAAACCUCUUAUUUAUAACCGAAAAUACCCAUUUCGGCAUUUUCAAAAAUUGCUAGGUGUCCCAACAAAAAUGAUGGGUGCCCCAAGCAGUUGCCAUCACUAAAACUUCAAAAUUUCAUUCCAUGAGGGUAACUUCAAACUUUUGACCUUAAAACACACAUGAUGACUAUUUUUAUUAUGAAACAAACACUCAGUAAUACAAAAAUGAACAACACACAUGACGACUACGAAUCAUUAAAUAAUAAAAUAGCAAUUGAAUAAUUUGUAGGGAGGGGUCUUCAAUACUCGAUUCAAGGUUCAUUGCUUAAUCGAGGUAUUCAUCCAAACCCUCAAAAUUCCAAGAGCUUGCAGAAAUUGGUGGUGGUUGUGCAAAUGUUGGUGUGGGUAUGUUUGUGGUAGUAAGAUAUAACUUAAGGCAUGUGAGGUUAGAGAGUGUCUCAAAUAUAGAAAACAUAGUAAUUAUCUCUUCAUCAUCUUGCAAUAUGCAUGUCCUAUACUAAAAGCAAUCACCAACAAAUGAUACAGGGCAUCGAAAAUGUAUAUCCAUCACCACUUUAUCAUUUGGUAGACUAAUUUUGUUUCCAAUAGCUUGUUUCAAGGCAUCAAGUAACAUGUUAUCAAGUUGAACAAUCUUUGGUGAACCACUUACAAACAUAGAACUAUGUUUAGUUGUUGUGAUGACGCCAUUGUAAUACACAAUCGCAAUGACUAAUGAUGAGGUCAUGGUUUGGGUUUAGGCUAUAGAUCAGAAUUCGAUAACAUGCUUAACGAGAAGGUUGAACCAUUUAUUUUUGUUUUAUUUAUUCAAACGUUAAUUACAUUGUUUUGUAAAUUAUUAACUAUUUAUUUUUUUAGUUUCACCGAAUGCUUACGUUACAAAGGGUUUGCGUCAUUUAUGCCAAAAUGCAUAUGAGGAUUCCAAAAUAUGGAGUGUUUGUAUCACUUUAAUUUGUUUCCUAGUGGUAGUAUGGUAGCAAACUAACAGGGUCAUGCUCCAAUUUGAACUUUGUCAAGACAUACCAAAUUUACCACAUAAUCUUAACAAACUCCAUCAAACUGACAUGAGAGGACACAGUGACACAUAUUGGGCAUAGGAGCAUCAAUAGUGAAUUGCAAUUUGGAAGGAAAUAUGCAAAUAUGUGUUAAUCAACCAACCUAUUCAAGGAAAACUUGAACAUAUGAGUCAUUACAUAAACUAGUAUCGAGCAAAUUCAAAAGUUUGUCUAACACGGUUUGCAACUCAUCCAAACUUUACCACUACAUCUCGCUCAACUCCAUAGAUGGAAACUAAAGAACAUCCUCCACCGCAAAGCCCACCAAUUGUUACUAACAUGCAUGAUGAAGGACUACAACCGCUUCCUCAAUCAUAUGAAUUCACACCACAACAACAUCAUCAUCAUGAUUAUGGGUACAAUCUGCAGUUCUUCAAUGCUAGCAAAGAAGACUACAUGAGCAACCUAAUAUGUAUAUAUCUUCUAACACUAGAAUCUGCUUAUGCGUACAUGCAAAGUAUACUCAUACUUUUGUUUUCAUCCGUUCACCAAACUAUUGUUGGCAGUUCUUCAACAAAUCAACCAAAUAUUAAUGAUUUCAUCCAAAGAGAGCAACUUGUUAUUCCUGAUAAACAACUUCAACCACAAGAAUAUGGAUAAGUUCAUCGACAAACGACAAGAAACAAAUAAUCUCCCAGAUGUGGAACUGGUGGACAUAGACGACAUUAAUUGUCCUUGCUAAAUUAUUGUGUACUAUGAAUGUCAAUUUUCCCUUAUUAAUUGAUUGGACACUACAUUUAUUAACUAAGCAUUGCAUGUUUUUGAGAUAAAUUGAGUAGACAUUACUUUUUUCGAGACAAUUUGACCCCACAUUACUUUUUUCUAGACAAUUUGAUCUCACAUUGCUUUUUUCGAGAUGAUGUGACUAAACGAUGCCUUUUAUGAGACAAUUUGACUGAACACUGAUUUUUUUUCGAAAUAAGAAAACCAACCGUAAUAAAAUAUAAACGCAAUCUAAGUUGUUUAUAUUAUCGGUGCGAUCUCAACCAUUGGUCUGAGUCACGAGAGAACAGUUGAUCACCUAAUAUAAAAAGUAGUAGCGGUUAGAUGCAAUUCAACAACACCUUUGUCUGAUAUUUACGUUAUUGCUUAAAACAUGGAAAGUGUAUUCGCUCAUGUAUUGUGAUGGUGACAUGAUUCUAUCAUAUGAAGGGAUAGUGUUUGAAUGUCCUAGUAGUCUAAAAGUCAUCACAAUAAGUGAGGACACGUCACUUGAUGCCUUAAGAAAAAUAAUUUUUUACACCAACAGAAGUUACAGAAUUUGACUUGAUCUUUUUAACCGUCUACCAAUUUACGUAAGUGAUGGUUGUGUUGAAUGCAACUAUAUAAAGUUCAAACGUAACGAUGAUGUGGGGAAAAUGUUUUAAUUCAUUUACUCGAAAUUUAAUACCAAAGGUCCAAUUGAGUUGAAUGCAACUUUUGGAUACUUUCCAAUUGAAAUCCUUGUCAUGUUGCACAAAUCAAUAACUCUUGAUGAGAUCAUUACUCUUAUGUGCAAUUAAUUUGUAUAGUCAUUGUGUAAAUUAGUUAUCACUUUUUUUUUAAAAUUAUAUACUUUAAUCAUGUUAAUCCCUGAAUUAUUUAACUAAGUUUUCUUAGUUUUUUCCUCUUCUUUAAUCAUGCAAUUUAUCUGCAUAAAGUUGGUUUCAAAUUGUGUAACCUAUUGUAAAUGUUUUAUUUAAGGAAUAACUAUUUCAUUUCCAUAAUAACAAAGAUUCUAAAUGCAUGUUUUGUAGUGAGAAGGAAUUGACAACAUGAUAAAAAGAUUUAUAAAUAAUUUUAAACAAAAUAAAUUUAAUAUAAAAUUAACAACAACACAUGCAAAUUAAAAUUUAAUUUUUUAUAUAAAAAAAAUUAUAUAUAUAUAUAUAUAUGUAAUAAAAAAAUUAAAAAAAAUUCUUAAAUUUUUUUUAAAAAUGAAAAACUCAGUUAAGAAAUAUAUUUUUCAAGAACCAAUUUUUUAAGUAAAUUUAAAAAAAAAUAAAAAAAUUAAUGCAAAAACUGUUUUCUCAAUGUAUCUAAAAAUAAAAAUAAAAACAUUAUUUAAGAAAUCGAUUCCCCUUAUUUCUUAACUAACCCGAAAAAAUAUCAUGCUAGGUUAAACAUCAAUUCUUACAAAAUCGAUUUCUCACCAUACACAAUAAAAUAUAUUUUGUGUAAAUAAUAUUUGAUUUGUCUUAUUUGCAUAAAUAAUUAAUUAAUUUAUAGUUUUUAAGUAAAAAAAAGUCAUCUUUGGAGAGACAUGGAAGACCCAACAUGGUAAUAAGAUUAAUAUGUACUAGUCACACAGAAAGCAAAUGGGUAGAUCCUCUACUAUGUGAGAAUCACAUCAUUGUGACACAAAUAGUUAAUUUUUAUGUACACAUCAUAUCAUCGUUAAAAGCGGAAAUAGCAUAAUGUCAAGAAAAGGACGAGAGUUGUCGGGUGACUAGCCAAUUUCCACAAAACUUGGUUGAGUUGUUUCAUUUCACCCUCAACAAGCUCUAAUUUAUACAAACGGUAAUAAAUUAUGUGUAGGUUCCAGAACACACCUUUGAUUGACGACAACACAAAUGAUGUAAUCCAGAACAUAUUCUUUCAUGCCCCCACCCUAAUGGAUCAAGCUUUAGGAUAAUGAUUCUUACUCAGACUUAAUUAUAUUGCAAAAAAGACACCGAAAACAAAAAAGGGGUCCAUGAUCAUGAAGCCAAAAGGAAUGAGAGAGAGUUAAAAAAUGAAUGGUGGUUAUGAAAUUUCUUGAAAAAGUUUGAGAAAAAGAUGUAUUUGUUUGUUUUAUACUGUGAAUUGAAAUUUGAGUUUAAUAUCCAUACACCGAAAAUAUAAAAUAAAUUUAUACUGUAAUUUAAUAAUAAAUUAUUAUUUUAAUUAUUUUAAAAUUAAUAAAUUUAUUAUACAUCGUAAAUUAUAAUUGAAUAAUUAUAUAAAAAUUAAAAUAAUAAUACAUAAUCCUUUUUCUCUACAAAUUUUGUGAGCCACGCAAGUUUUCUUUCUCCAAUCUCAAACAUUGAAUCAUCAUCAUCAAUUUCUUGAUUAUAUUUUUUAACAAUGGCUUUCAAUCGGUUACAUCAUCGUAUUCGAUAUUUGUAGAUACAAAACUAACAAAAGUCUAUGCCUGCAAUUCGUUUUGUCUUUUUUUCAAAGUAUUCUGGUCAGAUAUUUUAAAAUUUUAAGUGGUCGUGCUCGUUCCCCUUUCAGAAUUCAGAUUUAUAGAUGAUUUCAUGAUGGUUCUGUUCGAUAUCCAGGCUUUAUAUUAAGUUUAUGUUAGAGUGAACAGCUGUAAAAAUAAUUUUAAAUAUUAAAAGUUAUUAAUAUAAAUGGUUCGACACUUAAAUUGUUUAACUAAGAUCUGAAAUGUGAUCUUCAACAUAAAUAUGUAGUUGCGACUCUAAAUAUUGCAUACUUUGUAUCAAAAUGGGUGAUCCAAUGAGAUGAAGAUUACUUUGAUGUCAAAUUAAAGUUUUAAAUUUUUUCUCCCAGGGUUAAAAAAAUGCAUGAAAUUUAUUUUAAGUAAAAUUAAUUUUAAAAUAAAAUAAUUUGUCUUUUUGAAUUUUUUUAUUUUAAAAAAUAAAAAUAUAAUUGAGUAUAUCAAUAAUUUAUUGAAUAUAAAAUUAUUUAAAGGUUCUUCAACUUAAAAUUAAAUUUAGACACAAAAUCAUUUUCUUAAUGUAAUACUAAAUGUGUAAUAUUUAUUUGAAAUCAUAUCAACUAAUAUUUUAACUCAAUUUUAAAUAAUUAACGAGAAUUCAAACAUAUCCCAAGAAUUUAAAUUGAUAUUAUUCCAACAGUGGGAUUUUUUUUAGGAGAAAUUCAAAUACAUGAUCUUUUACUUUCUUUCUUCAUCAUCAAGUCAACUUAUAACUCUAUUUAAGAGUAGAGUUGUUAUGAGUAAUAUUUUUUUAACUGAAUUCUAAUAUAAUUAAAUUUUUAAACUUCAAAUUCAGAUUAUGUAUAAAACUAAAACAAUUUUGUUCAAAAAAAUUGACAGAAAAUAUUUAUGUAAUUGAUCUGUGCAUUUAGUACUUAUUUCUUCUAAUUUACAAUUAUUAUGGUUUGUUUGAUAAUAAUAUAUACUAAUUUUAAAUUGAAUUUUAAAAAUAUAAAAUUGCUUAUAUUAAAAGUCAAAACAAAUAUUCAAAAAUUCAAAGACAACGGUUAGAUUAAUUUAAAGUUUCCAAAUGUUCUAUGACACUUGUUGAAUUGUGAUCCUAUAUUCCUUCUUCAUAAGCGACCGCUAUUAUGAUGAAAUAGUUCAAGUGCAGGUGUCUUGAUCUAAGGGGGCAAUUUUUUUUAAUUUAUUAAAUGGAAGUAAUUUUUGAAUUAAUUCUCAAUUGACGGACAUCUUUUUUAUUUCGUUUAAUUUAUUUUUAAUGAAGUUUAUCAUUGUAUUUUUUUUAUUGAAGAAACUAAAAUCAGACAAUCCAAAAGCCUUUAAAGUCGCGUCUUACCCAACGGCUUCUAACUUAUUUCAUGUAACCUAAUAAUUUUGUAUGACUUUUAUAAUAUUAUUAAUUAAUUUUUUUGAUAAAAAUAUUUUAAUAUUAAAGACAAAAAAUAAUUUACUAAUAAAAAUAUUUGUUAAAAUAAAAACAACAUAAUACAUUAACAAUACAAAUUAAUCAUAGACAUAAAAUUAAAAAUUACACAAUAUUAAGCAGUAAUAUGGAUAAUUAGUAUGAUUAUGUCCUUCUAUUUUAUAUAAUGAACAUUUUUAAAGCUUAUUUUAAAUUGAUUUAUCUAUUUCAUUAUAUAUACAACUAGUCAUUGAUCUUUUUAAUAUAUAUAUAUAUAUAUAUAUAUAUAUAUAAUUAUAGAAAAUAAAUAAGUUAGAAAUCCUAGGGAGAUACACAACUUUCAAAUGGUUAGGAUUUUCCUUAAAAUAAAUUGUAAAAAUCAUGAUAUUUCUUAUGACUUCAUUAAAAAUAAAUUAAAAAAAAUAAAAAAAGAAGUCACACAAAAUUUACGACUUCUUAUCUUAAAGUCAUGGAGAUCCAUAUGAUUUAUCCUCAUUUGGAAAUUAAUUCAAAAACUAUCUUCAUUGAACAUUUUAAGCAAACCGAAAUAGUUGUACAAUAUUCAUUGUAACCAUUAUAUUUUUUGUCAUCAUGAAAUGAAAUUGAUGUAUAGUAAGUACUAACUUUAUUGAUGAAUAAUCUCUAUUAAAAAAUUUGAUUAAUCAACUUUAAUACAAAAAAUCAUAUUUAUUGGUUAACCUUACAAAAAAAUAUCAUAAUUAUUGAUUUUUUGUUUUACUAGUCAUCCUUUGAUUAUUAAUUUUUUUUCUUGUGAAAGUCACCCUUUGAUGUUUUUGACAAGAGAAAUGUUAGUUUGAGAUUGUUACAUGAGAAACACAUUAUUUUUAAUGAAUUUUCUUUGCCUAAAAUUCUCUUAUUCAUUUCUUUUAACUUCGUGACAACUUCAAGUUAAAAUGGUUGUCGAGAAGUCCAUGUGUGUAAAAUUGUUCACAUUAAAUUUCAACAACUGAAUCAAGAUUUAAAGUUCAAUUAAGUAAACCCAAAAAAUUGCAUGUAAUUAAGUAUUAAAAUGGUUGCCAACAAAAUUCUUCAUGUCACUAUUUAAACAUCAUUUUCUUUUGCCUUUGUUUUUUCUUUCAUAAAUGAAUGUCUCUUUUUCUAUUAUUAAAUUUACUAAUGAAACUUUCACAAAAUUAACAAAGUUAAAAGUAAUCCCAACACUAUUACAAGAAUGUUUUUCUAUGACACAUAUUCAAAGACGGUUCUAAUAAAACCGAUAUCAUAUCCUACUAGGUGGCACUUUUGUAAAUAUUCCUAACUUUUCAAAGACAGUUUUAUGAAAACUGUCUUUGAAACAUAUAUUUAAAGACAGUUUAAAUAAAAACCAAUGUCGAAAUAACAUACUUAACAUUGAUUUUAUUAAAACCAUCGUCAUCGUCAUAGGUUUUUUUGUCAUUUAUACAAGACGAGGGGGAGGGUGUGGGGGAGCAAGAAGGCAAGGUGGAGGGCUAGGGAUUUUAUUAAAAUUCUACCAAGCCACAAACAACACCAAAGCCACACCUUCUUCGGCCAAAUCCCUACAAAAUCUCAUCCACUACAAAACGACGUCACCUUCACUCUCCUCGAAAAAUAUGCAACUACUAACUUCAAAUUCCUCCGAUGCCAAAUCCCUCUCCAUCUCCUCGUCGCGUCUCUUUCUUUCAUCAUCCUCCUCCAACGAUGACCAUGAUGACCUCCCUCGCCUCCCUAUGUUUGCUCCCUUUACGGCUCGUCGAAAUCAGGUUUGAUUUUCGGGUUUAGGAAAUUCUUCUCCUCGCCAUAGAAGAAGGAAGGAACAACAACAACGAAGAAAGGGCACCACCAAAGUGCACUCCAUGAUGUUCUUCUCUUAUGGAUAUAAUUACAUGUGUUGCUUCCUCAAUUUUUUGCUUUUGAGUUUUGAUACCCUUCUUUUCGAUUAUAUAAUGCAUAUAAGAAAUUAUAGUGUAAUUUAGAUAUUUAUACUUGUUAUCAGUUGUUGGAUAUUUAUAAAGUCUACAUGAAAAAGCCUAGAAAUGGUUGAAUUCCUUUCAAGGAUAGUCCAGAAUUACUAAUGUUGUUGGAGUUCUCAAGUUGAUCUUCAUCUUUAUUUGGGGAAUUCAAGGUGAAUGGGUAUGCAUAAGUUUUUCGGUUUGUGCUUGCAUCAGGUUAAUGUUAACCUCAUAGGGUAUGAUGUAGUUCUUUGCUCCUUACAGCCAACAUUUCUUGAUAUAUAUGUUAAUGCAAUAUUGUGUGCCAAAGAAAAGCCAAGAAAGAGUCUUACUGAAGCAUUUUGUCCACUUUAUUUGCAAAUGUCACAUGAAGAUUUUCAAAGUCUUAUGAUACCAUCCUCUGUUAAAAUGCUAAAACAUAACCCAGAGAUUAUGUUGGAGUCUGUCGGGAUUCUAUUGAAGUAUGUUAACCUUGAUCUAAGUAAGUAUGCUGCAAAAAUUAUUUCGAUAGUAUUAGCACAGGCUCGGCAUGCUAAUGAAGGGAGAAGGGAUGUGGCAUUAGCUAUAGUCCAGAGUCUGAGCCCAAAAUUUAGCAAUCCAAUUGCAUUAGACACAAUGUUCAAUGCUAUCAAAGCUAUUAUUAAAGGUAUAAAAUGUCUCUAUGCUUGUGUUGUUGGCUUGUUAUGAUACCCAGUAAACCAUUUGGAGGUGUGGGUUAUAUAGAGUUUCGAUUGACAAAGUUAGUGGUGUUGUUGUUAUAUAUUUUGACCACACGAGUUUCAUUCUAAAUAGGCUCGGAAGGAAGGUUGGCUUUUCCAUACCAGAGAGUUGGAAUGGUGAAUGCAAUUCAUGAACUGUCUAAUGCACCUGAUGGAAAAUACCUCAUCAAAUAUGUGAUUUUCUUCUAUCAUACUACAAGGAUGAUGGUAAGCACGUGUUGUAAUAUUCCUUUUCAUUGUUAAUCUGAUUUUAUAUAUAUUAUUAAGGAUUAUGAUGUUUUCUACUCUUUUGUUUAUUAUGUUUCUACCGAUGCUAUCCAAAUUCUUAUUAAGCUAAUUAGAUUGAAUCAAACCUAGUGUUUCAAGAAGCCAAAUAUUCCAUUUAGAUGACUGACUAAUAAUUUUUUCUAUUACAAGGGAAUGUAUUAUUAUAUUUCCACGCUCACUUGGAUUCUUGUACAUGGGAAUUAUACACAGUUUCCUGCAACCCAACAGAUGUGACAUUGGUGGCUACAAAGGGUGGUGAUGGCAAAGGAUUUCUCUAGAAGAUUGGUGAAAAGGGAGAUUGAGCUUCCGAGCUUCAAGGUAUUUGCAUGAUACAAUAGCUACUACUGGAUGUGUAUUUUUCUAGUUAGGAUAGGUUCAGCAUCAUGAUUGGUAAUGUCAUGUUACUUUCAAUUGAUUGAAUUUCCAUCGUGAGUUUGUUAUUGAUUUUGUGCAGGUCAUAAAGAUUCUGAAUUUCCAUCGUGAGUUUGUUAUUGAUUUUUCUGAGUUUGUGAUUGAAUUUCCAUCGUGAUUGAAAGGUUCAACCUGCUUUAAUACCACUAAAUGUGACACAAACAGGACAUAGUGAGUGAAUUAUCACAUUCCUAAAUCGGUAGAGAUAAACAGAAGCACACACACACACACAUAUAAUAAGUACAACAAGCUCAACUUAGCACAAUUCACAUCAUUUUACCACUCAUUGUGUAACAUCACUUGUCCUAAGGAUUUAAUCACAACAUCACAUUCCACACCUUCACAUUAAUCAUGUGUUCAGAGUAACACAUCUCACACUCACACAAUUCAUUAUCCACCAUCACGUAACAAGUCACAAUAGUCAUUACACAGGCAUUAUGCAACAAAUACAAUAAGACUCAAUCCUAUAUGCAAUGUGAUACGAUGUCAGUGAAAAACCUCAUCGAGCGCCUAGGAGUGCAUGACAAGACAGACCACACACUGGUAGGCCAGGUCACUCUCAUUAGGUAAAAUCAUAGGAAGACUAGUCAGGAUCAUGUUGUUUUGCAAGAAUGUUUCAACCAUGCGGGAUCGGCACAGGCUUAAAGGAGCACUCAAACCGGCUGUAUUUACCCCCAAGGCCUAGACUCCAAAAAGUCUAUCAAGGUCUCUCCCUCCUGAUUCAAGUCCAAUCCAGAAAAACAUUUUAACACGCAGACUCUAUCUAUGAACUAUAAAAAAACACACGAUUCCUUAAUUGUUCUCAAAAUAAUUUUAACUCGUCGCGCCUCAAAGUGUUUCAACUCGUCAGGUUCCCAUAGUGGACCCAAUUACAAUACAUGUCAUAUAUUAACCUAUCAACCCUUAAAGGGUCUUACAGUCGUGUGAUUAUAACAUUCAUAACUCAUAACUCAAUGCACACAACCUCUCAAUACAUGUGUGUUCUCACACUUUAACACAUACUUAACUUAUCACAUAUACUCAAUCUCAAUCACAAUGUUAUAAUCUCAAAGUAACAUGUUACCACCUCAUUAAUCAUAUACAUAUCACACAAUAUUAAUAUAUACAUGGAACAAUCACAGACUUUACCUAUGAAUUAUGCAAUACGCACAACUACUCAAUUGUUUUCAAAAUCAUUUUAACUCGUCGCGCCUCAAAGUAAUUCAACUCAACGGGUUCCCACAGUGGAUCCCAUCACAAUACUCAUCACGCAAAAACUCAUCGUCCUUAAAGGGUCUUACAAUUGUAUGAUUGUACAAUUCAUAACUCACAACUCAAUAUACAAUAUCUCAAUACACAUGUAUCUCACAAUUCAUCACAUUUUCAAUUUAUCACUUACACAUAAUCUCAAUCACAAUUUCAUGAUCCCAAUAUAACAAUUUAUCAUGCUAAUCUAGUAAAUCAUGUCCAAAACACAAACAAAUUAUACAAAAAUAUUUCUCACAACAUGGGGAGUAAAAUCCCUCAAACAAUUUCACAUAAUCAUAUCAAAAUCAAAGGAAUUAAAAUCAUAGGUUCAAAAACACACAAAAAAUACCAAGAGUGCUCAAUUUCAUCAACUAAUUUGCAUUAGGACAUCAAUUAGCCUGUCAAACAUACCAAUCUCAUGAUUAUAACCAUAAAGGUAGAAUUAUAAUCAUAAAUAUUCCAAAAUAAACCCCAAUUUGAUCCUUUAAGAAUCCCUACACAUGUUCAUUUUAACCUCAAUUGAGAUAAACUCAUCUCUUACCUCUAAGCGAGCUAACGUGUGUAGGCCAGCAACGAUAACAGUGUCUCUAGUCGUUCCCUAAGCUUCCUCAGGCUUUUCUUUUGAUUGCUCUGUUAGAGUUUUCAAGCGUUUGAGAGAAGAAGAAGGGAUUUGAGCCUCAAUUUCAUUGUCUUUGUGCGAGAGGAAUGUCUCCCUCUGUAGACAUUAUUUCACAAAUCUCAACAGUGAGAAUGUGGAAAAAUGAGUUCCAAAGGUAGUGUCCAAAUUUUAUGAUGAUCCAAUGACUAAUGAGUCCAAGAUCAUAGUUAUAAUAAGACAUGUUUGGAUGUAUGUAGGAAAAAGGAGGGUUUUGGGAGAGGAAGAAGGAAAAACGAAUUUGAGAGGAAAAAAGAGUGUAGAUCCUAAAUGUAAAAACUGACCUAAUAUGUCUCUAUUUAUAACUAGGAUACUCUCGACCUAUUAAUUACUCUAUUUUUCUUUAUUUUAUUAUUUUAUAAAAAGAAACUUUAUUUUACUCUUUCAUUGAAUAAAUAACUAAUUAAAACAUCCCUUUAUUUUCUGAAAUAUCAUUUUACUCUAUUUAUUUUCUAAUACUAUGAAAUCCUUAUUUUAAUUAACAAAAAUUCUUUUCUCUCAUUUAUUUAAUUUCUAAAAACUUUAUUAAUUUUUAAAUACAACUCUUUUUAUUUAUUUUACGAAAAAUGGGAUGUUACAUCUUACAUCACGGUGCUUCCAUGGAAUUGUUCAAGUCUGGGAUGCAUCUGAAAAUCUAAAAAAUGUAUUUGAAGGUCUUGGAGGGGGCAUUGAGGUGAGAUUGUUGAUAUUCUUGCUUUUUUGCUUUGAGUAGUUACUAAAUUAGUUGCCAUGAAAUUUUCUUAGUGGCUCAGGUGGCAUCCAAGACAACACACACUCUUCGCUGUUUUUGAGGAUUUCAAUGUUUGGAUGUGGAAGACUACUUAUAGAAUUGUCCCUCUACUUGCUUUACGGGUCAUCAUGACAGUAUGACCUGUGUGAUUUUACUCCUGAUGGUAGUAUAUUCUCUUUCACGUUGAUGUAUUUUUUUGGUAGUUGUUACUAUUUAUGUUACAUGUUGUCGCAACCUACCUUACAACGGGACGACGAAAGAAAAUAAAUAAAAGCAUGUUUGUCUCCUAUGGAGAAAACGAGUGGGAGUCGCCACCAACAUUUAUUCGAGGAAAACAUUAGAAAAAUCAAAAGAGGUCUGCGAAUUUUGAAAAAAAAAGGGUUCGGGAGUUGUUUACGCAUAGGGAAGAUAUUAGCACCCCACACAUCCGUCACAAGGGACAGUAGCCUUUAAUCGAGUAUGCAAAAUGUGACUUCAAAAUUAUUUAUUUUCCUUAUUUUUUAUUAUUGUUAUUAUUAUUUUCGAAUCGACAAGGGUGUUGUCCUUGCUCCUAUGUAUGUCCAGGUGCAAUGAGAAAAUCAGACCUACAUAGUUCUUUAAGUAAGAAUGUUCAUGUUUUUUAAAAGACUUAUUUUGAUUGCAAACAAAGAUUUGUUAAGGCAUUGGACCUUGAAACGAUCUCAAGUGAUAUUUGACGAAAAAAAGUUUGGUUAUGAAUUGGUUUUUUUUCAUUUUGAUUUUGUUUAUUGCCUUCCAGUCUCACUAAAAAAACCAAUUUCAUGACACUAGUGAUCGACUAGAAUUAAGCCUUAUGAAUAAGACGAAAUUAUCAACAAUAAAGGGGAGAAGAUAAAUAUACACAUAAUAUCACAGAGGACCCAUAAGGGUACAUUAAUUACAUUCAACUCUCAAGAAAAAUUAACCGACUAUUGCACGGGGUACAAGACUAGUGAGGGAAAUGAUGUAGGGAAUGAUCCACGGUUGCAAUUCGACAGCGUCUCAAUGUUGCUUUUUUUUCUUCUUCUCUUUCUCUUUUUGCGUUUCUUCCUCUCCUUCUUCAGUUCUCAGAACCCCCUAACCUCUCCCCCUGCAUAGCUAUUUAUAGAAAAAGUCAUUUGGCGCUGGGGAAGCUCGCCCAGGCGAGCUGCUUGCUUAGGCUUGAAGUCAUCAGCUCACCCAGGCAAGGUAGAUGCUAGCCUAGGUGAGUUUAGGGUAAGAAAACUCUAGGAAAUGACCAUUUUGUUCCUUCCUUGUGGCUUUUGUUUUUGGAACUGACAAACAACCAUCAAAAUCCUAUGCGACCCCUUGGCCUUGCGCUGUAACCGGUGCCAAACAUCGUAAUUCGAUUAGUAAUGAUCAAAACAUCAUAUUCGAAUGAUAAAAACAUUAUACCCGGAUGAAAUUAGGGUCUGACAUAUGUACUUACAUUUUUCAAUUUCCUUUUACUUUGUACCUUAAGGGGAAACAAUAUGUAUUGGUUUUGCAGAUAAAACCAUGAGAAUAUAGAAUUCUAGAGGGACAAGUUAUAAAGUUGUGUUGGGUAUGUAAUUCUCUACUUUUAGUGUCUUUGUUGUUUGAGUCAUAUAGGCUAGUGUAAUUAUUAAUAUCAAAACAACCAGGUUAUGUGCAAAAAUAAAUACUAUUUCUAAUUAGACUUACACAUAAUUUAGGAUAAAAGUUGUCUAAGGUAAGUGAAUAUGCAGCAUGUCUUUAGUAAUGUUUUAAAUGCUAGGGAGUAGCAAUUGGUAUUUCUCAUUAUUCUUAGAAGUUGCCUCAUCACUGGGCCAAACUAUGGUCCAUUGCUUUGGUGCAUCAUUAUAAUGAGCAUCAUAGUGCUCUUCUCUUUGCCUAUUGCUAGAUUUGAAAAUGUUGAAAACAAACUUGAAGGAGCUAGAUUUCCUUUGCUAGUUGCCACCCAUGGCUAUUGAAAACGCUAUAGAGAAAGUAGUGAGUAGUGUUUCUUUGGUUUGUGAGAAUAUUAGGCUUAAUGAGUAGGAAAGAAUUGAAGAAUUGUCUUGUGUUGUUGUGUGUUCCAACUUGCUAGCUAGGGGGUUUCUAUUUAUAUAGUAGUACUAGACGUCCUUUGUUAAGCUUAGGCAAGGGAAUCUGAUUCAAACCCACUGGUAAGUCCCAAUAUUCAUGGUCCAAACAUGCUCACAUGGGACAGUAAACAAUUAUUUAACGUUUUGCGUAGGGCAUAUCUUUUGUGCUCCGCUGGUUUUGGUUUUGGUUUCUUUGCUUGACUUGAGAAGUCAUGUGAUUGCUUAUGGUUACGUUUCAAGUUCAAUGAUGCUCAAUUUUUGGGCUUAGCUUCCUGAGCUUGUUUCACGUUAUCUUUUACCACUUUUCUCUCGUAAUUAAGAAACAUUUUACUGUUUCUGCAUGAAUCUGUGCACAUGUUGAAUUCGACAGAUACUUAGCUGAUUUGAUUUCUCACUAACUAAUUGGGGCAAUCAAAUUCUCCUUUCUCUGUUAAGUCGUUUACUAAUCGAGUAUUAUUAUCCACGGUAGAAAAUGUCACUUUUUUUACUAUAUUUAUCUAAGAAGCUUGAUCUAUGAUCAUACUAAUUAAAUUUAACUUAUAUACUAAAUUAUGAAAUUUUUAAUAUUCCAUUGAUUUUUUUUUAAUCAAUGGCUAUACGUAUAACUUUCCACUUUAUCCUCUAAACAAAGGCUAAACAAAACAUAUUAUUAAUUUAGUGUGAAGAAUAAGAUUAAUGGAUUAUUAACUAAGAAUGAAGAAAGGUAGUCAAAAAAUAGCUUUAUUAAUAUGGUUCAUGCACAUCAAAUCAAAGGAUAGUAUGGUUUAGGUGUUUUGGAAUUUUUUUUUUUAAAAAAAACAAAGAGUAAUAUAAAGGUGAUUUUAAAAAGUUUUAGAGAAAAAGUGGUUUCCCCUUUUCUUCUAAGUUAUUCUCUUCCCUUGGAAAGUCCUCAGUGGCUACAACCAGUGGCUGCCACUGAAAGGUUCAUAUUAAUAUAUAAUAAUAUAUACUAAAUUAACCACCAUUACAAGUUUUUACUUGUGGAGUACUUAAACUCAAACCAAUUAAGCAGUAACUCGUUUUUAAAUAAAGAAAAAAAAUUGUUUUUUCUUCUAUCACUGCUUGCAAGUUGUCAAGUUUGGGAAUCUAAAUAAAUAUCUGUUUUUAAAAAUUUGUUAAUGGCCAGAGUUUGACAUACCAAAUUUGCACUCUUAGACACGAACAUAUGUUUCUGCUGGCUUUAUUUGUGUAUAAUUAUAUAAGAUUUGUGAUCUUUUUAUCGUGAAUUUAACAUGUCUGAUCUAUUUUAAAAGACGAUUAUGUUAAGAAUUGUCUUAGAAAAAUAUUUUUUUGAAAUGAUUUUUUUAGACAACCGUCUUAAAAAAUAAAUUUUCAAAAUAAUUUAAACAUCAUCGUGUUUUUACGACAAUGACUUAGAAAUAAUUUUUAAACCGUCCUAAAAUAUACUAUAGAACCUACUUAGAAACUCUAUUUUUUAAGAGUACAAUAAAGAGAAGGAUGACAAAGUAUAAUAAAAAUUUAUAUAUUGUAUACAUGCAACCAGCCUUAAAAACAAAUGUGAAACAAACACGGUUCAAAAAAUGUGUUUUUUUUUUUUACUAGUUCGUUUACUAUGUUUUUUCAAAGUGUAUUUACUAUGUUUUUUUGAAAUUAUUUUGUUGACAUUUUUUUAUGGAACCAAAAAUUGUCAAGCAAACAACUUGCAUUCCCAGCACCAGAAUUAAAACGGUAUGAAAACUGCCCAAUGUCAAUAUAUUCAUAUUUCAAUUAUAAUUUGGAUAAUCUAUAUUAUAAAAUAUUAAUUUUCAACUCUAUCUUUUCGUUUUCCUUUGACCGCUAUAACUGAUGAGCUAGCUCCAAGCAAUUCAAAACCCAAUGAACGGUCUAAUUUGAAUUUUUAUAUGGUGUGAGAGGGACAUAGCUAGCCAACUUAAAAGUGACGUCUGCAGUCAAAACUUUUCAAUUCUUUCCAAUGGAUAUAAAAAAUCAUGCUAGAUGGGGACACAUAAAUUAAAACAUUUAACCUCCUAAUCACAUGCACAAUGCACGCUAGGUCUAAACAAAUGGGAAAUUAUGAAAACCGCCAAGAAAAUGAAAAUAAACAUGUCCCGACAAAAUCGUAUGGACAAUAUUGAGUUAGUUACCAUCAUUCGGUUAUGUGUUCAAACAACCGAUGAUGAAGCUAAACACAUAUUGUGAAGUUAUGCCGUUUUCACCUAAUGAUUGAUUUUACGUUAAAGGUAUCAUGCAACUAAACUAUGAUGUACUAACUUUUAAGUUUUGCCUGCCCCUAUACAAAUACAACAUAUAUCUCUCAAAAUCUUGUUACACUUCUCUCUCUUGUUAAUUUAAUUAUUGAAAAUCAUAAUAUAACUAUUAUGAUUUACACAAUUAAAAAAUAAUUUUACAAAAUAACUAAAACCGUGGUGAGAACAUAUACAUUAUAAAAGUUAUUCCAAUAUAAUAUAUUCUUUUUAAAAUACCAAGGAAUCACCAUUCCUCUUUCUAAUCAUAACGUUUAAUUUGAGUAAAAAGAAACUCAUAAUUUACUAUAGAACGUUGAGAUAAUCACAAAUGAAAAGUUAAAUACGUGAGGUAUUUAUAAUCAUGACAAUGUGACACAAUUUUUUAUUAUAUUUAAUAUUAAAUCAAAUUUAUGUAGAUUCACCUAAAAGAUUUGUUGGUCAGAUUUUUUAUUUAAUUCCUAGUUUCAUAUUAUAUACUCACCUAAUUAAAUUUCAUUUAAUAAAAAAUACUAAAUAAUUAUUAGAUGUUAAUGACAUCAAAUAAUUAAUUAGAAGCAUUAUAUAAUAUCGAAAAAAUAAAGAAUAAAUUUUAUUUUCUCAGAACACAAACUUUUUAUUCAUUUCUUUAUUAACCUUUGUCUUUCGUCUCCAUAUGGGAAAAGAAAACCAAAGUAAUCUUUUUUUGAAAAGUAUUAUCGUGUUCAUGUGGUAGUGAUGAAUUAAAGGUGCCAUUAGUAAGGUUUAUGCUUGCAACCUUUGAUCUUUCUAAUUUAAUGUAUUAAAAUUUAUUUUGCACCAAGGGUUGGCCACAUAGUGGCCCAUAAGGAUGAAAGCAUCUCAACCUAAUCUAACACGUGGGGAACAUGUUUCAAAACAUAAAAUACAUGACAUAAUAAACUAACUAUUAAUUAAAACAAGUAAUGCUAAAUUAUCAUCUUUUCAAAUAAAUUCAGAAAUUGAUAAAUCACGAUCAUAAUGACUAGGGGAAGAGAUUUGUGCCUCUAAAUUUUUUAAAUAAGGAAUAAAAAGCAAAAAAAAAAAAGUUAGAUACAGUUAAUAAAAAAGUGACAAAAUUAAUAAUAUAAAAGUAGUUGAAAGUUACUAUAGAUUAGAAAAAAAUUGAUAAGAAGAUUUAAAGGUAAAAUUAAACUAUCCAAUAAUGAAAUGUGUACACUAAAUGGAGAUUUUUUUUUUUAUUAAUAGUAUAGAUAUUUACAAGAUAAGUCAUCAAAGCUAAUAUAAACAUCAUAUUUAUAGGAAUAAAUAAUUAUUUUUGUUUCUAAAGAUGUUUAUUACUAAAAAUUCAUCCCUGAAAAAUGAAAAAAAUAAAAUUUAGUCCUCAGUCUAAAAAGUGAGACAGAUUUGUCCCACUAUUAACUUCCGUCCGACAACGGUAAGAAACUCAUCUACAUGGCACGCAGGGAUAAAAAUGUCAUGAAAUUGAUACUCAGUUACUGACCACCUAUAUAAUGUAUUAUAGCUUCCCCAAGUUCAGUUAGUAACCACCUAUAUAUAAUUAUGAUGCAUUAUAAUAAAUAUUUGCAAACUGAGCUUGGGGAAGUUAUAAUACAUUAUAAUUAUAUAGAAGAUCACUAACUGAGCUUGGGAAAGUAUAAAAGUAUUGUAGUUCUGGUUGUUAGACCUCUCAUGUUUGUUUUUUCUACUUAUGGGUGAUCCAUUUAAGAUUUGGCAAACUAAUUUUUUAUUUGAGAACCUACCCCUACCUUGUCUCCUCUUGAGUCUUGAUUCUUCUAUGAUAAGUUGACAUUAUAAAUAUAUUUAUAAUUAUAAUAUAUUAUAAUAAAUAUUUGUAACAACAAAAUCAAAAACUUAUAAGUCUAAUGUGUGUUGGUGCAUGUAUCUUGUUACUAAUGUCAACUAAUCAGGUUCAUAUAUUUCGUGGAUAUAUUUGUGUGGAAGUUGUAUUUUUUAAUGACAAAAAUGUCAAUAAGUUGUUAAAUUUAUGGACCUAUUUAUCAAUAACUUUAGUCUUAUGUCCAUGUAAGUAUCAAUUUCAUGACAUUUUUGUCUUUGCAUGCCAUGUCGACGAGUUCCCUAACGUUAAUGGAUGAAAGCUAAUGGUGGGAUAAAUUUGUCUCACUUUUACACUUUCAAUGACUAAAUUUUGUUUUUUUUUUCAUAUUUAAGGGACAGAUUUGUUAGCAUCACACACUUUCAAGGACGAAAAUGACUAUUUACUAGUUAUUUUCAUAAGGUACACAGUUUCUUUAAUUAUUCAUCUCACGGAUUUGCACCUUACAAGAGAACCUCUACCCCCCCCCCCCCCCACCCCCACAUUCCCAAUGAUAAAAAAAAAAACUCUCACUAACCAUCAUCAAGUACUAUCUUUCAAUCUCGCCAUUAUAGUUUGUUAAUGUGAAACACAUGACCACUCCUACAAAGAUUCAAGAACAUUAGGACCAUUUUGUGAAAAAGAGAAAUCUUACUUUCUCUUCUUCACCUAAUGGAGAACUCAACCUCAUUUUUUACCAUGUUUGUUUCGCUUCUUGUCUCUAGUUUUAUGUGAGCAAUUAUGGUGAACACUCAUAAAAACACUUCUCAUCAACAAUGUGACAAUCUUGCCUCUCCUCUCAAGUCUCAAAUAGAGGAAAAUGGAAGUCCCAAGAAGCACUAUGUAUUAAUACCUUUAAUCCUUUGCCAAAACUAUCAACAAAUGGGCCAUGAUCCUCCCUUUCUUAAGUUCUCAUGAGUGCUAAGAACCCAUUAACCUAAUUUUCCACCCAGCUCAACUCAUAUAAGGGUAGAACCAACAAAUUGAUUAGUUAAGGGCUCAACAAGCCAAAAUCUCGUCUAGCUUUUCUCUAGAUAAACAAAUCCUACUCCAUUAUCAUCAAAGUUAUCUACCAUGCUAAUAAACCCCUUAAUUUGGAUCAAAAUUAAACAUCAUUAAUUUGGUAAUUUUUUACAAAAUUAAAAACAAGAAAAAGAUGGAUCAAGGUAAGAGAAUGGAGGAAUAACUCCACAAUUCAUAUUAUUUAAUGAGUUAAGAUUGGUUCGCUAGCUACAAAGAAUUGAGUUCUUUAAUAAGAAUCAAAGGGCUCCAAGAAAAGCACUCUUUGUUAGCAACAAGUUAAAAUUCAAUUAUCAAGUAAAAAGUCCUUAAAAAUGUUUAAGAGGUACAUUUAUUUCUCUCACUAAAAUAAGCACUUGGGUCAAGACCCAAAACUAACACAUUAAAGAAAUUAUCAAGGUAACUAAUAUAAGGCUAAUUAUCAAAUUUGGGUUCAAUUACACAAUUAUUAAAGCCCAUAAAGGUUUCUAAAAAUAACUACUACUAAUCAUAUAGUUGACUACAACUUAUUAUCUUUAAGACUCAUUCCUCUUCCUUCUUCAUAAGUAGGGGUGAGAAUAGGUCAGGUCAGGUCAGACUUUGAAAGACCUGAGCCUAGCCUACAAUGAAUUUUUGAGGUCUUAACCUAUCAAAGGAUUUUAUUUUAGUUUGGAUUGGUCUUUUUAAAAGCCUAGUCUGGCCUGAUAGUCUUUUUAAAAGCCUUCUUCACAUUAAAUCUUUAAUAUUCCUUUGCUCUCGAGUAAGAACGUAAUAGGAAAGUUAAAGGAAAAGGAAACGUUAACAGGAAUAGGAAAGCCAAUAAAAAUAAUGAGGAAUAUAAAGGGGCACAUGACUCACACCUAAAUUGUAAUUAAAGUCUUACUUGAUUAUAGGAAUAGAAGUUAUGGAGCAGUACUGUGUAAUCAAAGUCUGAUAGUUUCAAAAAAAAAUUAAUUGUACCCAAAAAAUAAUAUAAGUAUAUAUUGAUACCCAAAAAAUAAUAUAAAUAUAUAUACAUAUAUAUAUAUAUAUAUAUAUAUAUAUAUAUAUAUAGGCCGGCCUAUCAGGCUUAUAAGGCUUUUUAAUAAGCCUAAACCUGGUCUAUUUAAUUUAAUAGGCUUUUAAAAAGCCUGAGCAUAACAUUUUAAUUAAAUAGGCCAGUUCAGGUCAGACUUUAUGUAGGCCAUGUCGUAGGCCCCUGUAGGCCGGUCUGACCUAUUCCCACCCCUAUUCAUAAGUGAGGUCAUCUUCUUGUUGAACUCUUCUUGUAGUUUCUUGAGCCUUGCUCUAAUCAUGACUCCUCCCAAGCUAAGGUCCUUCAUGCUAAUCUCCUCACCCUUUAGUGGCUCUUCAUCACACUCUUAUUGCUAAUAUCAAUGUUAGAAACGUCAAGAUACCCCUAUAAGGCCCUCUUACUACUUUCACUGAGCCCAUCCAUAAGCAUCUUAAUGUUUUUAGGAGCCUCACCAUAGUAUUAUCCUAAUUCCUAAAGAAGCUUGCAUUAAUGAUGAAUAGGUCCUUGUGGUGCAUUAUCCCUUGUAAAAAAGAUCAUGUUGCUCCCAAUUCUUAAGUAUUUGGAAUUGUUACUUGUGAUGGAACAAUAGGACGAUACAAAAUGAACCCUACAAGCACCUUUUAUUUUUAGAUCUUGCUCUCUUACAAGCCAUGUUUUGAAAAUUAGACCAAACCAAUUAGUCUAACCAAAAAAAUGAACUAGUCCAGUGAUUAGUCCAAAUAAAUCAUAAAACAAUAAAACCAAUUAAAAAAAUCAAAAUGGGUUAGUGAAAAUGCUUAAUACAACAUUGUUUUGAUUUGUUUUUCUUAAAAAAUUGAAAAAUGAAGAUAUUUCUCAUUUUUUUUUCAAAAUGAGGAGUUGAACUAUGAUACAAGAGGAUUUAUAACAACCCAUGCAUAUUGUUCAACCAACUAAGUUAGUCCCUUUGGUAUUUUGUUUUUCAUUCUAGCUGUAAAUUUGUUUUUGUUAAUGACAUUAUUGUGUAUUGUUGAUAUCUUUGAUUUAGAUUUGUGUGUAUUUUGAAAAUCAAGAACUUAUUAAAUGGGGUUUCAUUUUAGUUUUAGUGUUAUAAAAUUAUGAUAUUAUGUUUCUUUAAUGUUAGUUAUUUUAUUUUAUUGAUACUAAUUUAAUUAGAUUCAGUUGUGAUUAGACAAGGGGUACAACAUAUCCUUUAACACUAAAGAAUACUACCUUUAGAUGGUUCAAAUAUUUUUUGCUUGGGCCCAUUAACACUUCGGCAAAACUGAGCAGGAAAUUCAUCGCAUGUUUUUUCUACGAGCAGGAUCAAACCAAAGUUUUGGGUGAGUAUGAUGGAAAUACAUUAAAAGCUAAACACGCUACUUAGGGACUAUAUAUAUUGAUAGGUUUACCAAAGAGACAUUGCAAGUUCAUGUCUUUUUGAGGAUGUACUACUAUUGGGAUCCCUUUUUAAAACAUUGCUUGCCAAGAGAAUGAUAAAUUAUGGAUGAAAUUUGUUGGUAAAUAUUUGUGUUUAAUUUAAAAUUUAUAAAUAUAUAUUAAUUUCAUUAAUUUUAUUUUAUAAAAUAAAAUAUUUAUUUUAUAUUUUUUUUAAGAUUUUGUUUUAAUCAGUCAAUUAGUUUGUUAUGUUUGUUUUGACAACUGUAGGUUGAUUUCUAACGGUCAUAUUUUCAACGGUCAUAUUUUGUUUGUUGCACAAGGUGGUUUGUGCCUAUAUAUAUAUAUAUAUAUAUAUAUAUAUAUAUAUAUAUAUAUAUAUAUAUAUAUAUAUAUAUAUAUUUCCUCCUUUCUAAAAAGAUGACAGAGCAAUGUCUGCUUUCUUUCUCCCAAAAAAUUAUCUCUUUCUUUUCCUAUAAAAAAAACUUAUUUUUGUGAGAGCAAGAACAUUGGUGUUCAGAAGGUUCGGGGAUCCUUUCGCUGCACACGAUCGGAACCAACAGGUUGUCGUAUCUUGGGAGAGGAACGCAAUCAAAUUUUCCUACGAGUGCAGUGGGGCGUUUUCUCUCUAAGGAUAGCGUUUACGCGCUUCAACCCAGGCUAUAUCUUUCUUUCCCUAAUUUAUUUUUUCAUUGUUCUUCUUGUAUGAUAUAGUGCAUUAUUGAUUUAUGUGGUGUCAAUUAAAAUUAUUUUUCUACUGUUAUUUUGUUAUUUAAUUAAAGACUGUGCAUCUUCUUCGUAUUUAUUUUCUUUCAUUUUUAUUUUAUUUUCUAACAAUCUUAGAGAGAAAAAGUUUUAUACUUUCUUUUUGCAUAGUCUUUUCUGCAGUAGCAUGAUGUUGUAUCAAAAUAUCUAUAAUGGAUAUGACUGAGUUUCUUUCUAGUAAGCAUGAAAAAUUAAUGGAUGAAAACACAAUGCAUUAUGUUCCAUUAAAAAUGUUUUUUAUUAUAUUAUUUAUUUCCUGAAAUUUUAAAUUAGUAUGAGAUUGUUGAAAAAUAUUUUCUUUGUCAAUUGUAUUUUUGUUUAAGAUAAAAUGUUUUUAGAAUUAGUUUAUGUGAAAAACUAAAAACAUCUCACUACUUUCAUUCUUGCCUUAGGAAGUUAUCUUUUACUUGGUCAAAUGAUCUUGUGAACACAUGUCUUUAAAAUCAGGACGUUUGUUAUUUGGUUUUUUAAUUUCUAUUGUUUAACGUUAUUAUUAUUACUGCAAGUAUUUUGUUGUUACAUGUUGACUGAUUGUCUCUUUAUAUAUAACUCAUUGAUAAAAGAUAAGCCUGUGAAAAUAUAACACACAAAAAUAAUAAAAUAAACACUUUGGUGAAGCUUUAUAUUUUGUUUGUCAUAUUCUUAAUAGAGUACCUUAUAAAAAAAAUUAAAAAAUCUUUAUGAGCUACGGAGAAGAAGAGAAUCAAAUCUAAAAUAUCUUAAAGUGUGGGGGUGUCUAGUAAAGGUUAAUAUUCCUAUUAAUAAAAAAAGAAAAAUUCAGAAAAAAAUGUUAAUUGUAUUUUGUUGGAUAUUUUUUACAUAAUACUACUUAUAGAUUCUUAGUUGUUGAUUCAGAAGUGACUAAAAUUUCUAAUGUUACUGUUAUGCAAUCUAGAGAUGUCACUUUCUUUGAGAAUCUUUUUCCUUAAAAAAUAAAUCGUUAAAUCUUUAUAUGGUUUGAAACAAGCUCCAAAGCAAUGACGCAAAAGUUUGAUUAAGUUAUUCUUUUGUAUGAUUUUCAAAUCAAUGAUAGUGAUAAAUGUGUGUAUGUGAAACAAUUUGAUAAUAAUGGACGUGUCAUUUUAUGUUUGUAUCUGGAUGACAUAUUGAUAUUUGGUAGUAAUAUGCAUUUCAUAAAUGAUGUGAAGUCUUUCUUGUUUAGAAAUUUUGAUAUGAAAGAUCUUGGUCAUGUAGAUGUGAUUUUGGGUAUUAAGCUUAUAAAGAAAAAUGAUGGCAUGAUUUUUACCCAAUCUUGUUAUGUUGAAAAGUUAUUGAAGAAGUUUAAUUAUUUUGAUGCGAAACAUGUUUUUACUCCUUAUGACUCAUCCAUCAAGUUAAAGAAAAAUUUGAGUAAAGGAAUUUCUUCACAUAAAUAUUCUCAAAGUAUCGGUUCUUUGUUGCAUUUGACAAACUUCUCUAGGCAUGUCUGAUAUUGCACAUGCAGUUGGUAGAUUGGAAAGUAAUUGAGGAAUUUAGUGAUACAAAAUUGAAGUUCUGAUUUUGAUGAAAUAAAAUUGACAAGUGGUUAUGUCUUCGCUUUAGCUGGUUAUGCAGUAUCAUGAAAAUCUACUAGACAAAUUAUUAUUUCACAAGAAAGCAAAAUUAUUGUUUUAAAUACUGCUACUAGUGAGACUGAAUUUCUUAAAAAUAUAUUAUGCGAUUUGUCAUUGUUGAAUAAGUGUAUACCUCCAAUUUCAAUGCAUUGUGAUAGUCAAAUUGCUAUAUCUAAAGUGACAAGCAAAAUUUUAAUGAAAAAAGAAGUCACUUAAGAGUGAGACAUAAGUCUAUAAGAAAUUUGAUUUCUCAUGGUGUUAUUUCUCUUAACUUUGUCAGGUCAGAAAAUAAUAUUGCAGAUUCGCUUACAAAAAGGUUGACAUGUCAACAAGUAUUUGAGUCGUCGAGGGGAAUGAGAUUAAAGCCCAUUAUUUAGUUACAACAAUGGACAUCCGUCUCCGUGUGAUUGGUGAUCCCAUGAAUGGAGUUCAACGGGUAACAACGAAAUUGUUUGUUGAUUAAAGUACACCAAAAUAAAAUUUGGCGGAGUUGUUCCGUUUCUCAUUCCUAUGACGAGGUGUAUUAUAAAUUGUGGCAAUAUUAAGGUUGAGGUAUUUAUAUAUGUGUAUUUUUGGUUUAAAAAAAUACCUCUUAAUGAGUCCGAUGACAAUUAUGGUAGGGGUGGAGGUCACAACUCACUCUUUGAGGAUUCACAUAGUGAGUAUGGUGGUGGGGCCGCCACUGUGAGAUAUGGGCUAAUCUCUAAGUGACACUCACGAAACAAGAUACAAGCGCAAUGCCGUGUAACGCGCUACCACUGAUUAGAACCUAAUUAAACGCCAAUAUUGUAGGGGUUGUGUACUAAAGUCCGGUUAAAGAAUAUGUAGUUCAAGACAAUCAAGUCACCAUAUUUUUCUCGGGUGGAAGUUCAUAAACACUAGGUAUAAGGCUCAAACCCAGAAGGUUCCUUAUACCGAAAUACAAUAUCACAUGCUUUUUCUCUCAUGUUUCUAUACAAAUUAUCUUUUAAAAAAUAUAUUUUAAAAUUUUAAAUUAUGUGGGGGAAUGUUGGUAAAUAUUUGUGUUUUAAUUUAAAAUUUAUAAAAAUAUAUUAAUUAUAUUAAUUCUAUUUUAUAAAAUAAAAUAUUUAUUUUAUAUUUUCUUAAGAUUUUGUUCUAAUGAGUCAAUUAGUUUGUUAUGAUUGUUUUGACAAUUAUAGGUUGGUUUCCAACGGUCAUAUUUCCAACGGUGAUAUUUUGUUUGUUGCACAAGGUGGUUUGUGCCUAUAUAUAUAUAUAUAUAUCUUUCCUCCUUUCUAAAAAGAUGACAGAGUAACGUCUCCUUUCUUUCUCCCAAAAAAUUGUCUCUUUCUUUUCCUAUAAAAAAACUUAUUUUUGUGAGAACAAGAGCAUUGGUGUUCAGAAGGUUCGGGGAUCCUUUCGCUGCACACGAUCGGAACCAGCGGAUUGUCGUAUCUUAGGAGAGGAGCGCAAUCAAAUUUUCCUACCAGUGCAGUGGGACGUUUUCUCUCUCAGGAUAGCGUUUACGCGCUUUAACCCAGACUAUAUCUUUCUUCCCCUAAUUUAUGUUUUCCUUAUUCUUAUUGUAUGAUAUAGUGCAUUAUUGAUUUAUGUGGUGUCAAUUAAAAUUAUUUUUCUAUUAUUAUUUUGUUAUUUAAUUAAAGACUGUGCAUCUUCUUCGUAUUUAUUUUCUUUCAUUUUUAUUUUAUUUUCUAACAAAAUUCUCAUUUUUGUUUUGAGAAAUUUGUUCAUUUAGAAUAUAGGUUGAAAACCCUCAAAAUACAACACCAAAAGCUACUAAGGUUGUUGUAGUAAUUUAAGGUGAGAUCAAUAUCUCAACAUAAUAGGAGUUUGAGAUUUGGCAAACAUAGAAGGAACAUUUUUGAUGUCUCCCCUUCCUUAAUAUGAUCAUAUAAGGCGAUAAGAAAAUCAGAUAGUGGUAGAGUACAACAAUUGUCAUAACUGCGAUAAGGUUCAAAGAUUAACAUCUUAAUAAAACAAGUCUCAAUAACUAAGGUUCUGUUCAGGGUGGUUGUGAGUUUUUUAUUUUUGGCUUCCAAAUGUAAUUUUCAAAACAAAAUGCGUUCGACAAAAAUGAUUUUUAACUCAAUUUUAAAACAAUUUUAAAUUAUCAAGAAAAAAGAUUGUGUGAAUUUGGUUUUUAGUUUUAAAAACAAAAUUCCAACCACCACCACCACCAUCGCCGCUACCACUACCUCCUCCACCACUAUUAUCACUAUCAAUGUCACCAUUACACUGUCUCCAUUGUUGUUGUGCAGUCACCACCGUCAUUCCACCAAUACUACCGUCAUCAUCAUCAUUCCACUACCACCACCAUUGUCGUCACUAUUUCACCCCAACACCAUCACCACCACCAUUCCAUAUACACUAUCAAUAUCAUCACCACUGUCAGUAUCGAUAUUCUCAUUACCUUUGUUAUUAUCAUUAUUUCAUAAUAAAGUGAGAUAAGAUAAAAUGGUUUACUCAUUUUAUUUAUUUUUAAUUCAUACCAUCUCUUAAAAAAUUAAAAACAAAUAACAAAUCAAAAUUCAACUAAAACUGAUUUUGAUUUAUAAAAAAAUUAAAACUAAAAACGAGAAAUCACCAAAGGCCUAAUGAAUUACAAUUUAGACAAUAAUAAAUAGGCAUGAUUCCAAUAAUACUACAAACUAAUAUGUCUAUUCAUCAUCAAAUAAGUAAAGAUCUUGAAACUAAAUAAAAAGCUCAAUACACUCAUAAAAAGCGUUUUGUCUAAGAGAAAUCCAUCCCAAAAAAAUCUCAAUUUUAAAUCUUAUUAAUUAUUUUAGAAAAAUAAUUAUGCAGCGAUAAUGUAAAAAUUAAUAAAAAAAAUCAAAAAUUUUAUUUCAUUUAUUCCGUAUUUCAAAUUUAUAAAAAUCUUCCAAAAAAAGGAACAAUAGAAAAAGAAGAAAUAAAGAUGCGCGUGUGUCGGUGAGAUUUCGAAAAGGCUAGGAAAAUUCGCACGGUAUGUGGUUUACCCACACAGGGAAAAAGCGUUGCAAAAAAGCACUUAGCAUUUUAGCACUAUCAGUCAAAGUCGUUUAUACCCGCAUAAACAUCUUCCGUGAUCUUAUCACUGUUUCCAUACGCAUUCUCCUCAGCGACACGUGCUUAUUCAGUUAUUCACCAAUUUUAUUUUAAAAUAAUUCAAUAAAAUCUCCUCCAAAUUUAUCGUGCUUGAGACCUUCCCACAUAAACCUGCUUAUCAAUAUCAACUUCCUCGUCAACCACUUGCUUCAUCGAAAGUCUACUUUGCUUCAACCAAUUGUUCAAGGACACGUGUACCCAACGAAUUCUACUUUUACAGUGUCAAACUCACUUUUUUUUAUAAAAAUAUUAAUUUUUAUUAAAAAAAUCAAAGUCAUGAUUUUUAUUUUUUAUUUUUUCAAUUCAUCUAAAUUAAAAGUACAAUCAAAACGAUUGAUACUUGCAUUAAUGUACAUUUCUUAUGAAUUAAUACUAUUUACAAAGUAUAUAUUUGGUCUAAAAUUUAUUUAUUUAAUGUUUGUAAUGGAAGUAAUCGUUGAAUUUAUUUUAAGAAAAAGUAAUUAUAAUUGUAGAAUCGGAAAAAUCACAGGAAUUGAUUAAUUUUAAAAAAAAAAUACAUUGAUAGAUUUUUAAAAUAUUAUAAUUUAUGAGUAAGUUAUAUUUUAAAAUAUAACUUUAGAAAAUCGUAAUUAUAAAAAAAUGAAGUCGUGUUUUUGUCAUGACAUUAAGUAUUUUAAAAAAAUUGUGCACCCACAAACAUGAAGUCAUGAUUCAAAAUAAUAUUUCAUUGUUUUAAAAAAUAAAUUUCAGUGUUUUAAAUGAAGUUGUGUUUUAAGGUAAGACUUACCGAUCGGGGUAGGAAUAGGGUAGGUCAGGUUAGGCUUUAAAAAGCGUGGGCCUAGCCUACGAUGAAUGUUUUAGACCUGAGUCUGGUCUAUAAGUCUAUCAAAUACUUUUAUUUUGGUUCGGCCUGAACUUUUUAAAAACCUAGUCUGAUAGCCUUUUUAAAAGGCUUCUCCACAUUAAACAUUUAAUAUUCCUUUGAUAGUUGUUUUUACCAAAAAAAAAUGACACACCUAUAGGCUAAACAAGGCCUUAAUAUAUAAUUUGACUUAAUUUUUAAUCUAACGUUAAUUUAGUUGAUAGUCUUACAAAUAUAUUAAUAAUAUAAACUCAAAUCACCAGAUGAUAUAAAAUAAUCCAAAAUAAAAGAGAACCUCAUACUUGAGGUAACAUCAUCAAGUCUAUCAAACCAAUAUAUUAACUAUUACAAACAAAAAAUAAAGCCUACAUCUUCAUUCCAUUUGAACAGAACUGAUACAUAAAAUAUCUACCAAUUAAUAGUUAUAAUAGUUAUAAUGACAUGCAAAAAAGUAUUGAUAGAAAUCAUAUAUCACCACAUAACAAAAAAACCAACCUGAACAUGCCUAAAUCAAGACUCAUAAUGAAACUUGGUAAAGGAAUAAGAAGAUGAAAGAAAAAAUUAUAAGGUUUUGAAGUUUUACCUCUAUCAAAGCUUGAAGUGAAAAAGAUACAAUUUUUGUAUGCUCUUCAAUUUUUGUUAGUUGUGUUCUCUAGUAAUAAGAAAAGGAAACGUUAAAAGGAAUAGGAAAAUAAGCCAAUAAAAAUAAUGUUUGAUUAUAAGAAUGAAAGUUAUGGAGCAGUAGUGCGUAACCAAAGUAUGCUAGUUUAAAAAAAAAAAUUAUACCAUGUGUUCUGUUCAAUGCAAUGACACAUAUAUAUUGGUACCCAAAAAAAUAAUAUAAGUAUAUAUACAUAUAUAUAGGCCGGCCUAUUAGGCUUAUAAGGCUUCUUAGUAAGCCUAAACCUGGUAUAUUUAAUUUAAUAGGCUUUUAAAAAAGUCCGAGCUUAACCUUUUUAUUAAAUAGACCAGUUCAAGUCAGAUUUUAUGUAGGCUAGGUCGUAACCCCUGUAGGCCGAGGUUUGGCUUAUUCUCACCCCUACUUAUCGAUAGGCGGUAAUAUUUUUAAAAUCUACCUAUUUUUAUAAUUUUUUUUAAAAAAGUUAACCCAUUCAUUCCUUUGAUGUAACCGGUAGAAUCUAGACUAUGCUAAAUACGGAUAUAGAUGAAAAAAAAUUAAUUAACAAGAUUUAAAAUUUAUAAAUCAUAAAUAAAUUUUAUUAUAUAAGGUGGUAUAUAACAAGCCAAAAUUUUCUCCCCAAAAAGACAAGGAAUAUUUUAGUAAUUUAAAGUUUAUUAAAAACUCUCCAAAUUUUAAAAUAAAAUUCAAGGAAAAAUAAUAAAUAUAUUUUUAGUUGUCAUUUAUUAGUUAAUCCCAAAUUGGUGUAACCCCAAAUCCAUAAUAAUCUGCCUAUCUAUAAUAAUAGAGACUAAAUAAGUGACAAAAAGGAAUGUUUACACAUGACAUUCUUAAGAGUUUUAAGCAAUAAAUUGAUUUAAUUUUUUUUUAAAAAAGUUACAUGUGACAUUUUAAUCUAUGUUUGCAAGUCAUUCUAGUUAGUUUUAACUUUUUUACUAGCUAAAAAAUUUGUUUGAUUGUUCGAUAAACAAGUUUUUGAUGAAGGUGCAACCAUCCCAUCUAAUAAUCUUUUAAAGGGGAUUGGAGAUUUGUACAAAUCUCCUUCUCACGAUAGUCUUUAUCUCCUUGAGAAAAAGAUUUGUACCUAUUCACUAUAAUAGGGAUUUGCAAAGAAAAUUGUAAACUCUAAUAGGCCUUUCAUGAUUCCUGCGCCUACUAGUCACAAGUUGAUCCCACCAAGUACUUGCAUAAUCGGUGAAUUCAACAACAAUUAGUUUAACUUUUUUUCUCCUCAGAAUAAUCAUGACAAUCAAACACAUGUUCAACCUUUCUCUCUCACUCCAAAUACAAUUCAGGAUCAUUUUUACCUUAAAACACAGGGAUUGUCAUCUUAAUGCUCCCCAAAUGAUUAUCUCUUCUUGGUUCGCCUCUUCGCCUUCUUCCAUGACUUCUUGCAUUUGAAAACUUCUCCUCCUCUUCUUCUCAAGUGAAUUGUCUACGACUCCUAGAUCGGAGUAAAGAUUGCAAACUAUCCAAUCUCAAGUUUAAAGCUUGAAAUUGUUCAUUAACAACUUUAACAAACAACUUGAGAUCCACCCCUUCUUCUCCACUCAUGAUUAAAAUUGCUGCAAGAAUUAUGUUAGAAGUGAUCAUAAAUAGACAAAUAAAUAUCAUCACACAAACACUCUCUCACGUAUUUACACUCAAUGAUUUUUUUCACUCGUGUUUCACUCUUUUUGGCUUUUAGUGAAUAAGAACAAAUAGAGGACAAGGAACAAGGGAUUUAAGAAAAGUGUUUGUUUUUAAGUAGGAGAAUAAGACCAAAAAGGAAGAUUGAUAGAACAAGAAGAAAAUAAGACCAAUAGUCACACUUUGUUUUUUUUCAACACUUAAACAAAUGUAAAAACUGCCUAGAUUUUUUCUUCUUCUACUACUACUUUUUUUUUCUCACACGUUUUUUUAUUAUUUUGUAUUUUGUUUGCACUUUUUUUUGCACGAAAUUCAAAUUUGAACGCAAAUAUAUGAUUUGACAGAUCCAAAUCUAGACUAUAACAGAAUUUUGGUUCCAAAUUUGAAAAUCAAAUUCAGAUCCUAACAACUUCAAUUAUCCACAUCUGGAUUGUAACAGAAUUUAGACUCCAAAUUUGAAAAACAAAUUCAGAUCCUAACAACUUUAAUUAUUCAAAUAUGGAUUGUAACAUAAUUUUGGCAACUUUAAAUAUCAAAAUAUGGAUUGUAACAAAAUUUUGGCUUCAAGUUUGAAAAUUGGAUUUUUUUCUUUUUUAUACAAAUUUUUUUGAUAAUAUAUAUAAAAAAAGAAGAUAAAAAGAUAUUGAUACUAAAGAGAGUUUAGAAAAGAAAAUAGACUCACAAAAAUAAAAUGAAAGAAGACGAGAUAAUGAUAUAGAGUUAAACAAAAGGGAAAGAACAAACAAAAGAGAAAAUGAGAAAAAGAAAACACAGAGGAUAGAUAACACUUAAUCUCAAGAACCGAAGUUAUCAUAUCAAAUAAAAGAAUACUUAGGAUCACCUUGAAAACAGGUAUAAACAGAACUCAAUUUGACCAUAACCGCAAGUAGAACCAAAGUUAUCAAAAGGUGUGUGACCCUAACCUCGACCUGCCGGUAGAACCAACACUAUCAAGUCUGAACAAAGGAAAAGAUCUCACAACAAAGAAACUCUCAAAUUUCAUUAUAUUCAAAUUAUGCCAACAAAGUGUUUAAAGAGUUUAUUUAUACUUCUGCUAAUAAUCCCAAUUUAGGCCCAAGGCCCAAUAAAUGAUAUAAUAAUUAAAAGACUUCAAACUAACAAUAAAAGGUCAUGACAACCCAUCAAAAGUCUAAAAAUAGGCCCAAAAUGAAAUUAAAAAUGAAAAUAAAUCAUAUUCUAAAAUUUGGCUAAAAUUCAUGAACUUUGAUUCUUCUUUUCUUUCCUCCCCCAAUCCCUUGUAAAGGAUCAUUAGAUGGCAUAGUCGCACCUCCAUCAGUUUAAGUAGCUUCUAAUAUUUUUUUAAAUGUUACUUGAAGUAAUAUGUUUUAAAACACUAGCUUUUAGGUUUUUAUAUUUUAUUAUUUUUUAUCCUUCAAACAUUUAUUCAAUUUUCUCAUUACCCUUUUUAAAUAUGUCAUUUUAUAUUUUUCAUAUAUUUCAACAACUAGUUUUAUUGAACUUAUGAUUUAAUAAGCUAGUUUAAAAGCUAUCAACUUUCAACUUUCACUUACUAGAUAGUUUUUCACCUUCCAAUUAGUUUUGUCGAACAUGACUUUCAUAAUAGAAUGAAAAGAUUUUGAUUGAAAUGCUCACAUAAUAAAGGAUCUAUACAUUAUGAUAUUUUUUUGUAACACAUUAUGAUAUGCUUUAAAAUAUAAUUCGUUAUUAGUAAUUGACAUGGGGACAUAAUAGAAGGAGUAUAGAGAGUAUGGAGAUUGGUUCAAUUUCUCAUUUACUAAUCCAUUUUUUCAAUAAUUUGGCACAAACAGUAGAUUUAUAAAUCAAUGGUGAUUUAUUAAAUUAAUUGACUAAAAAAAUUAAUCAUUAUAAUUAAUGUAAUGAUAAAAUAAAAUGAAUAUUAAAUUUAUUUAAUAAGUUAAUUAUUAUAUAGUGGGAAACGAAUUUUCUCCCAUAAGACAAAACUAGAGAGUGUCUAAUAGAAAAUAUUUCAACCAUUUGAUCAUAAUAACGAUUUAGAUCUUGGCAUGUAUUACAUGUUAUUUUCCUUCUCUCCCUCUUCAAAGUUGGCACUUAACCCAAAAAGACUCUCUUGCAAGAUCGCCACGGCGCCAACAUCGUGUUGCGACUGCUUUUGUCGCUGCAGUGGCGUGUGGGAGAGAUCCAACGCUAGGGAGGAGGACAAGAAUGCGGGCCCUUGUUGGUAUGCUGUUGGGAAAUUCUUUCAAGUGAGUGGGCGGAGAAGCUUGAAUCAAUCUACAAAGGUGGUGGGGUGGUGGUCAUUGUUGCAAUAAUGAUAGUGAUGGGUGUUAGAAAUUCAGUGUUGUAUAUGAUGAAAAAUUAUAAAAAAAUUGACAUAUAUAAAUACAAAUUAUAGCAUAUUAAGUAUAGUGAUAAAAAAAUAAUAAAUUACCAAAGACAUGAAUUCACAUUCAUCCUCCUUGAGUGUGGCUUGACAAUGGAAACUCUUAAUUAAUCUUAAGAGGAUUAUUGUCCACUUUCUAGGGGACUGUCUAAGAGAAUUUGACUAAGAGAAAAAUAAUCAUAGAGUGUGUAAAUUUUCUUAAUGAGAUAACAAAUUUUUAAUCCCCUAGUAGUGGGUAGGGACCUCUCAAUGGGUUAUUUACUGAAUAAUUGACCCAACUCAUCUCAUGGUCAAUCUUAUCUUUAAUCCUAUAUAAAACAAUUAGUAAUCAACAUAUGAUGAUUAUCAUAUCUUUAAUUGUUGAUUAGAGAUUCUAAAAGAUAAUGUAUUACCUAUUGAUUAAUACUAAUCCACAACAAAUAUUUUAACAUUCUCUAACUUGGAUAAUAUUAACCAAUAAUAUAAUCAUAAUAUUAACCAAUAAUAUAAUCAUCAAGGCUAGAAUGACAAUUUCAACCAUAUGUCAACAAGAAUGUAAAAAAUCUAAAAUCUCUAAUGUAAUAAAAUAAUAUCCAAUAGGGAUACACAUCCCGAGAGCCAUAUAGUCAUAUUUCUCACAAGAAAAGACUAUACGGAAUUACAUAGUUUAACAGUAAAAUAUUCUAUAAUGGUUUGAGCAUCUGAAAAUGCUACAAGAGAUAUGUUAUUGAGACAAUAUUACUUUAUACAUAUCUCAUGAUUGAUUUUUCAGACUCCCACUAACCCAAAACAUGAAAAGACUUAACCAAACACAUGUGAGAUAUAAAAAAAAAACAUCGAAAAUCGAAAGCUCCUAUACCAAAGUCUUUGGUCAAUGGAUCAUAGCACUUUAAGUCUGAAAAGUUGUAAAGACCAGAAUGAAAUCCACAUGCAUCUAAGAGGUCAUGAUAGCCCAAAAACAAGAGUGACCACAUGUAGGCUAAAUCAACAAAUGCUCUUACUAUAUUUAGCAUUCAAUUAAUCUAAGUUUCACAAAAUAAGUGAUGCAAACCCAUAGACAAUUAGGAAAAUUGUUAAUUUCCUACUUGGGUGACAUAGACAUCUAGCUUAGAUAGAUCGAUACUCUAGAUUAACGUGACCACAAAUUGUCAAUAAUGAGCAAGCACUUAGAUCAUUGGUCCAAACAAAAAAUAUAUAAGUAUGUUAAUGGUGCAAAAUUGUACUUGAUAGGAGUACUAUCGUCACAAGAACCUUGACAAUGUGGAAAAUCAUACUCGAUAGGAGUAAUGAAUUUUCGGUAUAUUUAUAAAUAUUGACCAAACAAAAUGUGAAUUUUAGAGUAAAAGAGAUACAUAAGAUAAUUGCGAUACAUAAGAUAAUUGCAUGCCAAAAGACUAUUUGUGCAAUUCCCAACAAAAUGGUGUUGGCAUAGGCUAAAGAUGCUUACCAAGAUACAAGGAAUUUUAUGUAUCUCAACUUAAUAGGACAAGAAUAGUCAUUUAGAGUAUGUCAUACGAUCAUUAAAUGUGCACAAGAAUACACGACAAUGCAAAUUCGAUAAGUCUUGAGACACAACACAAGAUUAUACACUCCCACUAAUCCUUAAUAUACCAAAAUAAGAUUAGGAUUCUCAUUAGAGUCCCUUAAAAUUGAAAUACCCUAAUGAUAGUGGGAUUAAAACUAUGAUAUAAUACUCAAUGUGAAUCAAAAUUCAUUAUUUUCUCUCUCAAAGAAUUAAGUAUUAGAAAUAAGUAGAGUGGUGUAAGAUUAAUGAGAGAAGUGGUUAAAAGCAAGAAUAUGAAACCCAACAUACAAUUCAAUUAACAAUUACAUAGUUUUACAAAAGAGUUUCAUAGUUAACCACAUGUUAAUCCUCAAAGAAUAUUGACCCUCAAAAGGAUCACAUAAACAAAGUAACCAUGACUGAGAUAAAAAAUUCCCCUAAUAUUUUGAAGUAGAGUAUGGGAUCAUUUGUAAGUUUUCAAUUGUUCACUCAACAUAAAAUCAAAUGCUAUAAUUUUAAACAAUAUUCACACACUUGAGUGAAACAUUUGGUUACACACAACGAAAGUGCAUGAGACCUAUACUUAACAAAUUAUUAAGGAUAUAAUAAUGAAUAGUCUAUAACUCUCAUCACAAACUAUAAUGGACAUAGGUUUAUCUAUAUAUCCCAAAUUAAUAUAUAUAUAUAUAUAUAUAUAUAUAUAUAUAUAACUUCAACAAAAUUACAAUUCAAAAUACCAUAAGUAAUAGUACAAAAAUAUGGCAUAGAGAAAUUAAUUUUUUAACAUUUGGGAUUCCUAUAUUUUCUUGACAAGAAUUGUCCACUAAUAACAUAUGAUAAUAGAGAGUUAAUACUGAGAGUCAUCACACAAAACAAUAUUCUAUAAGAGGCUAACACAAAAUCAUUAAUGUAGGUCCUAACAACAAAGUGAUCACAAAUAGUAUGUGACAAGAAAACCAUUUUAUCAAAACAACUAAAUUUGGUUCCUUAUGUAUCAUUAAUUAGGCAUUUGAGGUAGAGAUCUUGUAUCAAUACAAUUUCAUUUAUCGGACAUUACUUUCAAUAUGUAAGAUCCCCCACUUGAUAAUGAAAAACAAUUGACUUAAUGAAUUCAAGAAAAAAUGCCCAAAGGGCUAAACAAAAUCCAACUAGUUUCUUUAUCAUACUACAAUCAUAUCAACAACCAAUGUCAUGCCGAUAGGGUAUGUCCACUACCCACAUGAUAACAAUAUGUUUCUAUAAAAUAUUUCAUUAAAUAAAUUUGCAUCGCAAUAGGCAACUGCAUAAAAUAAAUAUUGGAUUGCUUAAAAAAUGUCCAAUUAAUAAAAGUUAGACAAAGAGACUAGUAUGGAACAAGGAAACAUGAGCGUAAAUCGUCACAUACUCAAAGAGUUAAACGGUUCCAUAUAAAUAUAGCCAAAGCAUGCCUUUAUAGAGAGAAAUUCUUAUUUGUUGAGAUCUCUUUCUAGAAUCUCAAAACACAUUAAAUAAGAAACAUAAUAUUAUAAUGCACAAGAAAAAUUUAUAUAGUUAAGAAAAAACUUCAAUAGUGAUUGGGUACUCAAACAAAUAUGAGGCAUUAUAUCUCAACAAAUUAUAACAAUAAUAACACAUCGAUAUGGUAUAAUUAUCAUUAAUAUAAUCAUGCAAAUUGUCAACAAUUAUGCCAAAUAGAAUAUGAUAUUCAACAAUAGUCAUAUUCAAAGAAAACCACAACAUUCUUAAUAAAAUUUUCACAUAGCAUGUAAUAAACACGACUUUAUCAUCGUAAGAAUAAUGAUAUUAAUUUUAUUAUCUCUAUAUUGGAAAGAGUACAAUAACAAAGUUAUUGGUUUUACUUGAUUGAGUCAAGAAUAAAAAACUACACAAAACAAUUCUAUUUUCAUCUCAAAAUAGAACUCUAGAAAAUAAAACACAAAACACUUCCACUAAAUUAUUAGAGUUAGAGUAUGGUUAUGAGAUGAUGUAUUAUAACAAGAAAAAAGAUAAUUUGUAAAGUUCAACUAGAAAAUUUUUUAAAACAAUGACACUCUUGUAUAUGACUGCAUAUUUAAAAUCUCGAUAAGAAUAAUUUAUUUAUAAAUUUAUCCAUGUAUAAAAUCAUAUAUUAAGUUAAAAGAUUUUACAAUAAAUCUUAUAGUGUCACUCAUCUUUAUGCACAAGACCAAUGAGUUUUAAUGACUUAAAAGUAUGUAAUGUCAUUUUAAGAGAAAAGCUCUAAAUAUAAAUCAACUUGACUCAUCCUUUUGUACAAGACCAAAUGAACUUUGAGGACAUAAAGAGUAUAUAUUGUCAUCUCAAGAGAAUUGCUCCAGACAUUAUAAACAUCAUUCAUAUACGAUACAUGAAUGAUAUGGUUCAUAAUUGCCUUAAAGAUUUGUUAAUAGAUAUAUCUUCAAUAUUUAAUUAAUGAACACUUAAUUUAUCAACAAGACAACAAAUAAUUUAAUCCUGACUUUGGAGUAUCUUGGCAUAAAAUAUUUUAAAUAAUGCACAAUUGCACCAUUCAAUUAAAACAAAUAUUAUUUUUUUAUUAAAUCCAAAAUUUAUUUGACCAAGGCACAUGAUCAGAGAAAAUAUACUUGACACAUGUUUGUCACAAAUGAAGAAAAUGAGUUUUAGAUUUGACCAUAUAGUAGUGCAAAACACAAUGUAAAUCAAAACAUUAAAUUAUGUCAAAUUUAGAUUUACAUAAUAUAGACAAAUGACAUAAAGUAAUACACAAUUCACUACACAUUAAUUUGAUUUAAAGCAAAUAAUCUUUGACCCAAAUUAUGACAAAGAAGAAAAAAUUUGUGACUAACUCCAAUAAAUAGUGCUUAAGGAAAAUUUUAUGUCUUGCAGUUUAUCUCAUUCAAAGUUUUGACAAAAUUAGAGAGAUAAAUUUAACACCACUAAAUAUUAUGUGACUUCAAAGAAAAGUUCAGUAAAAAAAAAGUCCUUACGCAAAUGAGACAAUAAUACAAUAUAUUGUAACUCAUAUUACGAAGAUCCUAAUACCGAUAGGGUAUCAAGAAAUUGAUUAACAUAAACAAAGGGAAGUACAUUAUGGAACAACAAAUUACACUAAUAGUAAUAUACCGAUAGAGUACAAUUACUAUUAAUAUGAUUGAAUCAACACAAAAUUUACAUAAAUGUACCCAAGAUAAGUAAGAUUACAAUUAUAUAAAUUAAGAGAAAAUUAUGUUUAUCACAAAAUUGAUAAUUUAUGUCAUGCAUAAUUGUAUAACUAACAUACAAAUUCACAUCACUAUACCCACGAUAGGCGAGUUAUAGUAAUGCAAAUCAAGGGAGAAAAAUUAUGCACAAGAGAAUGAUAUUUUUUUUUAUCAUGCAUACUAUAUAAUAAUAAAAUGACCUCUAAUUAAUUUUUCAAGAGUGACACAAUACUAGAGAGAGUACCCCAAACUAGAAAAUAACUAAAAUCGUAGGGAAGUGUCAUAAAAAAAUGAGUUCCAAAAUCUGAGAGUACAAUAUUAAAAAUCCCAAAUUAAGUCUCGGAUUAAUCAAAUAAAUAUUUUCUAAUGCCCAAAAAUCUAGAAAAAAUCAUCAAUAGUCUCAAAAUAUUAAAUAAAUAAUAUCUGCAACAAAACGAAUAAAAAUGGGCUUGGAAUGGGGGCACGCCCCACACUUGCACCCGCAAGUGGGCAACACAAUUGAAUUCGACUUGCGAAUUGAUUCAAUUGGAUCUAGAAAUGAAAAUAUGGGUGUGGGAUGUCAUUUUGGUCAUCUAUGCUAAAGGAAUAAAAGCCCUCAACUAGUUUUACAAAUCGUGUAAAACCAAGUGAGAAAUCAAGGAAAGAUGCAAACUGGAAAAUUAUGUUUGGCUGACAAAUCUAUAAUCUUGUUUUUGUAUAAUUACUCUCUUGUUUUGGAGUGAAAAUACAUGUUCUAGCAUGGGUUUUUUUCAAAAUCCUCCAAUCUACAAAAGCCCUCAACCAAUUUUGCAAAUUAUUUACAAAUGAAGGAGAAAUAAGGAGGAAACAUGUUUUCGCAAAUAACCCCCGAACCGUUUAUGUUUUCAAGGUUUUAGUAAUCGAUUACUAACCUUGUUUUCAAGAGAAGGAAGUCAUUGUGAGCCAUAUAAUUGAUUAUCAUGGAUGUGUAAUCGAUUACAAGUAUUCUUAAAAUCUUAAUUUUCUUUCUGUGUGCGAAUUAAUCGAUUACCAUUUAUUUGUAAUCAAUUGCAACAACAUGCUAGAAGUAAAUAUGACACAAUGCAAGCAAAAUAAUUGAUUACCAUAAACUCUUUAUCGAUUAUAUCAAAUUUCAAUUGGAAGAUUAUUCUCGAUAAUCAAAAUAAUCAAUUACCAACUUAUUGCAAUCGAUUACCACAAUAUGUAAAUGCAUAACAAGGGGUAUCUAAAUAGAAUAAUCGAUUACCCGAGUUUGAUAAUUGAUUAUGGUGGUUAUAACUAUUUUUAUUAUAAAUAAUCAUCUUGUUAUUUUCCUUGUGUAACUCUUUUGUGAGAUGAUAUUUUACAUGUCAAUUAGAAAGAGUCUCAUAGAGGAUUUAGAAGGAAUUUAUUUAGAGAAGAUCAUCUUGCCAAAGAUCUUGCAUUCAACAUCAUAAGAUGAACACCAUGGUUGAGCUUGGAGAUUUUUCAUCUACACCAAAAGGUGUAUUCAUUCCAUUGCUUAUAUUUUUAUCUUAGACUCUGAUCUUGGUUAGGGUUAUCAAGAAGGUUGUUGAGGUGAAGGAUUCAAUUCAUAUUUUUUUUUCUCUUGUAGGGUUUAAAGGAAUAAAAGUUGUGACAUGUGCUUGUGCAUAGUGUUUGUAAAGUGAUUUCUCUAUACCGAGCAAGUUGGAUGUAGGUUCUCUUGAGAAUUGAAUUAGUAUAAACUUUUGUCUUGAUUCUCUUUAUCCCAUCUCUUAUUAUUGAGUUGAUCUUGACCUUGAAUUAAAUUGGUAUUUAUAAUUGUAAUUGAAUAGACCAUUAAAACUCUGUUUUUGUAUAAGAAACAAUUAUUUUUCUUAUGUUAGAUUAUCCUUGUGAUAAAAGUUUUUUAGGAAAAUCUUGAUUAUUCAAGAUGAUAUUUGGAUUUUAAUGGAUUUCAUUCAUCUAGAAAAUUAAAUAAGUUGAAGAAUAUAUUCAAUCCCUUUCCAGAUUUUAGAUCCAACUAACAUCUUUUCUGAUCAUUAUUUAAAAAAUGUAUAAAAGUCAUCAAAUAUAAAUAUAUUAUAAUUCUUCUUAAUUCUUCCACUUAACCAGCUUGAUCAUUCUACAAGUUAAAUGAUAUAUAAAAGUAUAUUUUCUUAAUUCAAGUUUUUCUUUUUUUUUUGUUUAUAUAUUUUAUUAAAUUUCUCUUUACCUCCAAAUAAAUAAUAAUUCAUUGUCAAAAAUAAAAUUAGGUGAAGAGAUGAUUUGGAAAAAUACGUAAAAUUUGAGAUAAUUGUUUUUAAUUAUAUAAAAUUUCUAAACAAAAAUUUCAAAUGUUUAUCAAUUAUUAUUCUUCUAAAUUUUUAAAUUUAUUUUUUAAAAUUAGAAAAAUAGUACUCCCCAUACAUAAUUUAAACAUCCAGUAGUUUUGAAAUAAAAAAGUAAAACAUCAAGAAUUUUGAUAAGAGGGAGAAUUAGUACAAGUAAUUUUUAUCAUUAAAGAAAGUAAAAUCCGGUGAGUUAAUGUGGAAAUUCUCUUCUCUUAAAAUGAUAUUUAGUUUCCAAAAUUGAGUAUCAGUCACAUCAUUUUAUUUUAUUUAGGGGUGAGAAUAUUUUAAGAGAUUCAUUACUUAUGAUUUAUUUCAUAUUAUACACAAAAGGUAAAUCGCAUUACCAACAAAAAUAGGACAGGUCAAAAUCACAAAAAUCAUAUUCAAACCCAAUAAAUGAAUGUGUACCUGAAAAAUAGAAAACACAAAAGAUGCAAUGAAUUUGCAGUACAAUAUUAAAUUAGUUCAUGAAAAAUAUAGAACUAAACAAAUUGAAUUUUAAAUGAUAAGAUAUAUUUUUAAGAUUCUUGAACGUGCAUUUGCUUAACUAUAUUAGUUUUCAUAUCACGAAUCCUUAAGACUAAUUUGACUGACAGUCACAUGGAAUACACAUUAAUGAAUUAAUUUGACAAUUUUAAAAUCAAAGUCACGGUCAUAAUUUUCAUAUUUAAAAACUGAUAAGACUGACACGCUAUUCUUUCAUAGAAAUAAUUUAAUUUGUUGAGAAAUAAGAAAUAAUUUAAUUAUUCCCUGCUAUAUUAUUUUUUUGUCAGAGUUUUAUUAAAAUUUUAAUUAUUUAAUAAUACAAAAUUAUAAAAAGUCUAAUGCUAUUAAUUAAAUUAAUCAAUAUUUUUAUAGCAACUAACUUUCAGAGAAGACGUGGAUUAAUCAAAACAAUACUAUACUUAAUUAAAAAAAAAUAGUAUAUUUAAGGACGAAGGUAAGAUCAUUUAAAUAAGAUUUAGUACUUUUCUUUACCUGACCAAAAAGUAUAUAAUUUUGUUUUCAUGUGUAUAUAUCAAUUACUCUCUUUUUGUCUUAUAAUAGUUGUGGUAUAAGAUACAAAUUUAUCCUAAAAAUACUUGUUAUUUGUUAUUUUAACUUUUUUUAAUGAAACAUUAUUUUUUUUACUUAUAUCUAUUAUAAUAUUAAUGUUAUAAGUCACAAAAACUAAAAAAUAAAUUAAUAAGAAUAAUUUAAUUUUAUAAAAUUAUUAUUCUCUUUCAUAUAUUUAUUAAUUUUUUCUAUUUUAUAAAAUAAUCUAAAACCAUAAUUAUAAUGAGAAGGGAGAGUAAAAGCCACCUAAAUAAUAAUAUAAAAACUCUUUCAUAGCAAUCUUUAAGAAAAAAAUACUAAUAAAGAAAAUAUAUAAAAAAUAAAUAUUUUUGAGUUGAUAUACGUUUAAUUUUCUCUUAGAAAUGGAUUAUAUAUCUAAUUUUACAUAUAUAAUUGAUAAUAAGUAUUUUUGUUAAAUUUAUUAUUUAUUAGAAGUUAAAUGUUGAAUAAUUGUGUAAAAAAAAUCCAAUCACCCUUUAAUACAAUUUUGGAUCUAUCCUUGCUUAUAUAAUUAUUAAAUAAAUUAUUUUAUUUUGAAAAAAAUAAUAUAUACAUUGAUGACAUAAAACUUUUAUAAUGUCAUGUAACUAUAAACUAUAUAAUAAAAACUAUUGACUUUCAUGAUAAUUAAUAAAAAAAAUACAUGUUAUUUUGUUAUUAGUUGAAAUUGUAAAAACUUAUACCAGGUGAAUGAAACUCUUCUUUUGUACUAUUACUAAAAAGAAAAGGAAAGAAAGGAAAAAAAAAAACAGAAUAAUAAUAAUAGCAUACCAAAAACAUAUUUUAUACCAGAAAGGCAAAAAAUCCUCCCCUGAAUCCCUUUUUUUUCUUCUUUCAAAUCCAGCUUUCUGCUCUCCACACGCUCUCUCACUUCCAUUAUAUAUCUCUCUCCACUCUCCAACUCCAACUCCCAAAUCCAUUACUACUAGUGAGUAGUGACUUUUUCAUUCAAUUUCCUAACUUUUUUCUCUUUCCAUUGUUCUUCUUUUUUCACUCCCAACACCAAUGGCAUUCCAUGAUCUACUCUUCACACCCACCAUUUCCCUCUUCAUAAUUCUAUUUUCUCUCUUUUCCACCCCUUCCCAUUCUGCCCUCACUUGCGCUUCCCAGAAGCUCAACCGCACCUACGCCAACUGCACCAACCUUCCCACCCUCGGCGCCACCCUCCACUUCACCUUCAACGCCACUAACCGCUCCCUCUCCGUCGCCUUCUCCGCCGAGCCUCCCUCCCGCUCCGGCUGGGUCGCCUGGGGCCUCAACCUCGUCGGCGAUGGCAUGCGCGGCGCCGAAGCCUUCCUCGCCUUCCCCUCCUCCGCCUCCGCCUCCGCCAUCACCCUCGGCCGCUACAACCUCACCUCCUACAAAGCCAUCGACGAAGUCAAAGCCUUUACCUUCGACUCGUGGGACCUCGCGGCCGAAGAAUCCAACGGCGCCGUAACCAUCUACGGCUCCG
rnacentral:lncRNA from 1 species